rnacentral:lncRNA from 1 species
GGGGGGGGGGGGGGGGGGUAUACGAACGAUAGGAUUUCCAAAAAAGUUCGAGUUGCUUCCACGUUUUGCCAGAAUAUCAGCCACUCCAUUCGCUUCUCUGAAGACGUGGGUGACCUGUGGCUCUCCUGCUCUAGUAAGCAUCCAUAUGCAAUCAGUAAUCAAAUUUUGAUAUGGACCAUUAUCGUUAGUAAGCAUGUUGACUAGGACACUGCAGUCUAUUUCAACCACUAGUGGUCUAAUAUUUUGUUGUAUAGCUAUUUUUAGACCCUGUAUAAGGGCAAGGCCUUCCAGGUAGAUAUUAGUAGCGUGAGGAAUGGACAUGUUACAACCUAUAAUCCAGUUACUAUCACUGUUUCUGAUGACCCCCCCCCCCCCCCAAAUGCCUCCCUUACCAGGGUUCCUAAGCUAGAGCCAUCUAUGUUUAAUUUGAAAUUCCCCGAUCAGGUGGCUUCCAUUUUAUGUAAAUGGUGGUCCUUAAGUGAGGACUCUGAGUAGAUUCUGUUAACAAUUUACACUCCGUUGCGUUUUUAACAAUAUUUUUUAACAAGAGGGGAGAUUUAUUAUUAAAGAUGAAAUUAUUUAUGUGGAUCCAGAUAUGCCAAAUGUGAAAGGCAGGAUAUCUGCCUUAGUUAAGUAUCUGUUAAAAGGUGAAUUUGUGUGGCAAAGGGUUUUUAACUAGUUAUGCAUAGAGAGGUCAUUGCGUGGCUGGUUCGGGUAUUUGUAGAAACUUCCCAGUUGAUCUCAAAUAGGUUUUGAGUGACGGCAGUUGAAGAACAUGUAUUCCAUGUCUUCUUCUUAAUUUUGGCAGAUAUUGCAAGUGCUGGAAUUAGUGACUUUUCUCUUGUAGAGCAUUUUGGAUGUGGGUAGCGUAUUGUGGACAACUGUCCAUAAGAAGGAUUUAAUUUUGUUUAGGGUGUCUAGCUUCUAUAGCCAAGAAAAGUCUAUCCAGUUUCCUUCUUCUUUCGACUGAGCUUUAACAAUUUUGUAGGUAGCCUUAGUAGAGAAAGAUCCGUUAGAUCCCUCUUCCCAAGUAAAUUUGUCAACUGCCGGCUCGUUUUGUUUUACAUACGUGCCAAAAAAAAUUUGCAAAUGUUUUCUGGUAGCUCGAAGGAGAGGAUAUUGAUGUUGAAAGAUCCUUCUUCUAGGAUGGAACUUAGGAGAGAUUUAUUUCUUUGAGAGGUAGGGGCCCUGUAUGAGGGAUCGAACGGGGCUUGAGUCCAUAAUCCAGGCAUCAUGCCAUAGGUUAAUGGAUUCCCCAUUACCUACUUUCCAAUGGAUGCCUUUUUCACAGAUUUCUCCUCCAAUACAGAUAUUUUUUCAGGUGUGGGUUCCUCCUUUUUCCCCCCAGGUAUUUCCACCUGGAGGAGUCCCUAUUGAUGCUAUAUAUACUCUGUAGGACUUUUACCCAUAGAGAUUGCUUUUUCCCUUGCAAAUCUCCAUGCCAAGGUUGCAUUGAAGGAUUGGUUUUUCCAUUUGGCUUUGUAUAGCCCCAGGCCCCCUUCCUUUUUAUCCCUAGUUACUGUGUUCCAAUUAAUAAGAUGACCUUUUCUUGUUUCAGAAGUGCUCCCCCACAAGAAGUUUCUUUGGAUGGUGUCGAUAGUUUUGAGGGUAGCUUUUGGGAGGCUGUAAAUUUGCAUGACAUGAUUAGGGAUUGCUGCAAGGGUGGAUUUUAUUAGGGUAGUUCUUCCUGCUAUAGUCAGGAGGUUUACUUUCCAGCCCUGUAGUCUACAGUUGAGGCUAUCAUUAAUAUGUUGGAAAUCUUUUUUGGAUGGAUUUGAGUUCAGGAUUAGGAAUCCUAGGUAUUUCCCUACUUCGUUUGAGGAUCUCAUGGCAAAACAUUGGUUGAUGCACUCCUUAUUUCUAGAGGAGGUAUUUUUGGAGAAGAUAACUCUUGACUUUUGGAAAUUAAUGGAUUGACCUGAAUGGUUGCAGAAUUUAUUAAGGGUGUCUUUUAUUGAGUUACAACCUUUUUGGUUGGCUUCUGCCAUUAAGAUUAGAUUGUCUACAAAGAACAUGUGAGAUAGUUGUGGUCCUUCGUUAGGCGUUUUUAUGGGGAUCCAAUUGCGGCCGUCAAUUUCGUGGUGUAUAAGCCUAGAUAGCAUUUUCAUGCAGAUUAUGAAUAGGUAUGGGGAUAGGGGGUCCCAUUGCCUAAUCCCCCUUGUGGGUCUAAAGAAAUCGGUGCUAGACCCGUUUAUCAGGAUUGAAGUUGAAGUGGUAGAGAUACAGGACAUUAUUAGGUCUAUUAGGUCUUUGGGAAAAUUUAAGGAAAUUAGUGAGAACCUUACGAAGGACCAUUCUAUUUUAUCGAAGGCUUUUUCCAGAUCUAUUUUUAUUAACAUUUUUCCUUUCUUCCUUUUAGUUCUCUUAAAGUAGGUCAUUACUUCGUUCACAAUGAUGGCAUUAUCUGAGGCCCUUCUCCCUUUUAGGAAGCUAGUUUGAGUGGGGUGUAUGACCUUUGGGAGGAGUGGUUUGAUUCUAUUAACUAUAAUAUUUGUAAUGAUUUUGUAGGCGGUGUUACAAAGGCUUAUAGGUCUAAAUUGUUUUAUAUUUUCCGGAUUCUGACAUUUUGGAAUUAAGUAAAUGUAGGUUUUGUUCAUUUCCUCCACCAUCUUUUUAUUUCUAAAAGUAUCCUUGCAGAAGUUGAUUAAGGCAUUUUUUGUUUCAUUCCAGAAUUUUUGGUAGAAGAAUGGGUGAAGACCAUCCGGUCCUGGAGCUUUAUAAGUCUUAAAGGAGAAAACUGCUUGUUUAAUUUCCUGGAGAUUAGGUUCCAAGCUUAGGGUAGGGUGGUCCAUGCUAUCAAGAGUAGCAUAGUAGGACAUUGGCGUUUGAUUUUUAGGGGAGUAAACCUGUCUUGUGGUAAAGAGUUUUUUAAAGAAUUCAGUAAUUAAAGGGAUGAUCUCUUUUUGGUCGUAAAACCAGUUACCUCCCUCAUCUCUUAGGCUAAGGAUUCUAUUUUUUCUUCUACGCUGCAUUGUGGUAAUGUAGUAGAAUUUUGUGUUUGCGUCCCCCUUAUUUAGCCAUUGUACUCUUGACUUGAGCUUCCAGAAUUCCUCGUCUAGUUUUAGAAGUCCAUUAAGGUCUUCUAUUAGGGUUGAUUCCAGGUCUCUAAGGAAUUGACUAGUAGUAUAUUUAGGAGAUUUUUGUAUCCCGUUGAGCCUAGCUAAGGUGACAUUUUUUUAUGAAAAAUAUUCUCAAAGGUAUUAAUGUUCCAGUUUUUUACUUCUUUUGUGAAAUUUUCAAUAGCCAUUAGAAGAGAGUCAUGGAUGCUCCAAUUGGCUUCUACUAGAUGUUUAAAAGAGGGGUGGGAUAAUCACAUUGAUUCUAUUUUAAAGACUUUAUUUUUACGGGACUUAAUUCUCCUUAAGUCUAGUUUAAUAGGGCAGUGAUCCGAGUAAACCCUGGUUAGGUGGGUUACUUGGGCUUCAGGGUAUAUAUUGAUCUAGUUUGGGUUGGCCAUGUAUAUAUCCAACCUUUCCAUUAUUAUUAAUUUAGAGUUUAUCCUUUUAUUUGACCAGGUGUACUUAGAACCCUUAAACCCUAGGUCUAGGAGCCCACAAUAGUUAAUACAGUUUAUAAAUUUGGAAACCCUAAUGUUCUUAACGGGUAAUCUACCAAAUUUUUCAUUUGCCCCUGUCACUUCAUUAAAGUCUCCCGUGACUAGCCAGUGGCCCUUAAAGGAAUUUGCUACUAUUUUUAGCUUAUUCCACAGGAUAUUUUUUUCCUCUAAUAAACAACUAGCAUAAAUAAUGGAUAAAAGCCAUUGGUGUGGAGAAUAUUUUACCUUUACCAUGGCGUGGAUUUCCUGAUCAGUACUAGCAACUUGAUCCACUAUUACCUCUGCUUCAUUCCACAUCAUAACCAUUCCUCCCGAGUUGCCUUGAGCUGCUACUUGGGUCAUUUUUAUGAACCCAAAGUCCUCAACAAUAGCUUGGUGAUCCGCUAACCUUUUUUCCAAUAAGGCUACCAGAAAGGGUCUGUUGUAGUCUAACAUUGAUCUAAAUAUCCUCUGAAUUCAUCAUUACCUGCUCCUCUACAAUUCUAGAUUAUGACGCUCAUUGAUCUAUUUAGGGUUUGGGAUGUCUCCACCUAUGCCUGCCGUGGGAUUGCUUGGGGUGGGCUCCCCAUGCCAUGUUGUCUUGGUUCGUCCAGUGAUGCUCAUACAGAGUUGGGAUUAUCACUGCCCCAUACUUGUAAAUUGUCGGGGGGCUUUUAAGAACUCGUAUAUUGAUCGAGAAUUUCCUCAAGUCUUGUGGGCAGUGUAAGAUGUAUCUUUUUUCUCUUUUUUCCUUGAACACCAGCGUCUUUGGGUCCCUUAUCAUGUCGUACUCCACUCGUCUUGCUGUUGAUGAUCCUUCCUCGUCUUCCCCCUCUUCCGUCUGUGUUUGGACAAGUGUAGGGGAACUUUUUGAUGUCACUGCUAUAGCUAGUGUUUGGGUUGCCGCUACUUGAGUUUGCUUUGUGUUUAGUGUUGGAUUGUUGGGAUUGUUGGCAUGGUGUGCUGCAUGGUGUUGAUGGAAGUGUGUUUUGAUUGGGGGGGAUAGUUUCUUGAAAUAAGGGGAGCUAUAUGCUCAGCUCUAUUUGUGCAGAAGAGGCUAUCCUUGGUUGUCUGCUCCACGGUGAUGGAUGGAUCCCCAAGGUGGGGUUGUUGAGGGGAGGCAUCUGGUUAUUGAACAUGGCCAACCAAGGGUGAUUUGCAAUGUUGUCCAGCCCUAUCCUCAAACCCUCUGUCAUUAUCUGAGCAAGGUAGCUCGGAUUUUCUAGUUGGACCAUGAUGUCUUGACCCUCCAGCUGCAGAUUCAUGUUUAGGGAGAAUCCUGUCAGUCCGUACUCCAGCCAUGACUGUGGAACAUGGUUCACUGGUAGUGGUGGUGUUGUGUAGAUUAUUGGCUCGGGUGGGUUCAUGGGUGGGUAUGGUUCAUGGAGUGGCGUUCUUUGUUGUUGCCUCAUCCAAACAUUUCUCCUGUUUCUAUGGUGUCUUCGUUAGUAAUUGGUAGAGUGAAACCUGUCCAUGAUGUUGUUCAUUGUUCUUUGGCAGAUUAGGGGUUAUAGUUUUGGAUGAUGGAGGCUCGUUGGAGUUGUUAGAUAUAGAGUUCAAAUUAUUUUACAUGGGAGUGAUGUACAUGGUUGAUGGGACUUUGUUAUUUUCAGCUUUUUGGUUUGAGAGGAGUGCUUCAAUGGUUUUUGUUGGGAUGAUUUUUGACAAGAAAUCAUGAGAAGUGAUGUCUACUUUUUUGGGGGUGUGAAGCCUUAGUUUAGGGGGGUUGUAAUCACCAAUUAAUGUUGAUGGGGCUUUGCCUAAGGUAAGGGGUUGGUCAAUGUCCAUCGAGUUGUUCCUUUUUGUUGAGUUUAGGAUUUGGUCGUCAGCUUUUGGCUUUGUCUCUUGUUUUUUAGGUGGUUGUCCGCUGGGUUUAAAGCUUGAGUCUUUCUCCUUUUCUGUUUCAGAAUAUGUGGGUUCUUGGGUGGUGAAUUGGGGCAUUGAUUGUGAUGGGGGUGGUUUGAUAAAGGAGGGGAAUGAGUGUUAUCCAGAGUACUUUUGUACGAGAGGGUUGUUGGUUUGGUGUAGCAGCUAGGGUUACCUAAGGUUUCAGGGGUUUUGUCGAUGGAAUGGCAGCUAGGGUUGCCUAGGGUUUCAGUUUUUUGGUCAAUGUUUCGUUUUUGGUUAGGGGCUGGGUAGUGACCACUGGGUUAAGCAAUGUGUUUCUCUUGAGGGUUUGUUCCUAGUUGUGUCCUUGAAUGGUAUCAUCAUGUUGUGCUUCAUCGUUUGGGAUCCUUGAAUUGCCAUUUGAUCCCGUUUUGUUCAGUACAAAAGAGUCAUUCAGGUGAGCAUUAGCCAUGGCCAGUGUUUUUUUUAUUUUCUUUUGUGUGUCACAAUGGUCCAAUGGUCAAUCUCUUUGUUUAGGGUAUCAAUUUCCAUGGUCUUUCCAUUGUUAGUGUCAGUGUUUGGUUCAGUAGUAGAUUCUACAUUAGGGCAAUUGCUUGAAUUGUGGCCUAGUCGUCCACAUGACUCGCACAGAAGGUUGAAUCCUUCGUAGGCUAUUUUUUGGUAGUGAUUUCCUAUGAUGAUGUGUGUUUUUAGGGGCUUCUCAAUGGGUGUUAGAAUGCAUACCCUUGCAUAUUUACCUCUAGUGGUUGAGGAUGUGCAGGCAUCGAUCCUAAGAAGUUUUUCUAAUUUGUUUCCUAUCUUAUGAAGAAUCUCAUAGUCAUAGAACUCCGUUGGGAGCUCUGGUAAUCUAGCCCAGAUGGCUGAGAAGGUUAGUGAUGCUGCUGAGGCGAUGAACCUGGGCUCUCAUUUCCUUAUAGUAAGGAAUUGGUUUCCGAUGAACCAAGGUCCCCCAUGUAGUGCCUUGUCGUAGUUUUCUGAUCUAGUGAAUUUUAUGAGGUAAUAAUCAUAUCCAAGGUUAAUUAGUGUUAGGUGCUCAGUAGGUCUCCAUAUAGCAUGUAUUUUUGGUUGUAGGAAUUGGUAAGUUACUCGUCUGCCGAAAAUUUUUAUUAUUAGAGAAUUUUCCCAAUUUUUGUAUAUUCUUUCCUUAUCCUCCGAAGUAAUGGGUAUGAAAUUGUCCGAAUUAAAGAUGUUUUCAGUUUCGUCCGAAGUAUCAAAGUCAAGGAUAGAUUUUUGCACUGCUAUUUGGUUUUUUGUUUGAACGGUGUCUAAGUUUUCUUGAAGUUUGGUUAAGAAAGUAGUUUUUUUGUCUUGUUUGUCAUCACAGUGUUCGUUUUGAUGAUCACCCAUUGCUUGGGAGCUCAAAAGCUGGUGUGAGCUCUGUGUAGCUGUGUUAUUAUCUUCAAGGUGUUCCAUAUCUGUGUCGUUUCCGUUGGGUGCUUGUGUGGUUGUUGCAUUGUGUUGUUGUUCUAAGUCUAGUUUGUCCAACAUGGGUCUUUUGGUAUUGCAGUUGAUGGAAUGAUGUUGUGGGUAAUUGAAAGGGGAACUAGGGUUCUUCUUCAAAGUUUGCUAGAGAGAAGUCAGACAUUCUCUCUCUUGGCUCUUUAUCAUCUCAAUGCUAGCUUUACAAGAGUUAGUGGUCAAAGGCUCCUCGAAAACCAAACUGGUUCUCAUAAAUGAGUCAACCAAUUGUUGAUACCCUCUUUUCUUUUCCGAUUUAUAGUAAUUGUCUUUUUGAUAGUAGCAUGCUUCAAAAUUCCAAUACUUGAAUUCCUUUCUGAUCUUUUCCACGUUUUCCAUUGAUUAAUUGGCUUUGCAAAGAGUGGAAUGAAUGUAACAAUUUGCAAAAAAUAUUCUUUUGGAUCUUAACCAUUUGUUUCGUUUGAAUAACUGUUUUGAGUUUUCGGCAAAAUUACUGGUAUAAUCAUCUUAAUUUUCGAGAAAUUACUGGUAAAAAUACAUUUCUACACUUGUAAAAAUUAUAACAUGUUAUUAUAUACUCCUAGUAUAUAUUACUAGUAACUACCACUUGUAAGCACGUAAUUUUUGACCCGUCAAUUUUUGCAAGCUAUUCCAACAUUUUAUACAUAUCUAUUUGAGUCUAUAUUAAUUUUUUUUAGGAUUUUAAUACGUAUAAAUACUUUUAUUUUUAUUUUUAUUUUGUUGUUUUGAGUAUUAAAAAAAUCAAAAAAAAAAACACAAAAAUAGUUCAAGUCUAUUUUAAUUUAAGGUUAAUUAGUAUUUUAUGUAGUAAUACUAUUUUCGCCUAUUUUUAUCUAUUUUGAUUUAGUAUGAUCAUUUUUUUAGUAGCCUAAUUUAGGAGUUGAGCCAAAAUAACCAACCCAAUCCACCACCCAUUUUUCCCUAGCCCAAUGCCCUUAACCCUUGCCGACCCGCGACCCACGCCCCAAUCUCUGACCCACCUAGCACCCUUUAAAUCCCAACCAUUUAUCCCAUCUAAUCCAACAUCCCUUAUUUAUUCCCCCAACACAUAAAAACCUAACCUAACAUUUACCCUAACCCUAAAGAAACCCAUCUCAGUCGUGUCACCCCUUCACCCCUUCUCUACCGCCGCAACCACAACCAAACCCACCGAAAAUUCCCCCCUAAAUCACAUGGCCACCUCUCUCUUCUCUCCCUCUUCCACGCCACCCGACCCCUAACGAUUUCUGACAAAGAAUAUUCCCUUCCCCUUAUUUCAUGCAUUUUUUAUUCUAUUAGAUGGAAUUCGGAUCAAUGGUGGACGUAGUAUUUGAGUACUUUAAAUCCUAGUCCUCUAUUUGUCUUAAAAUCGUUCGAAAAAAAAGAGAACAAAAAAUUAUUUUUGGAUUUUGAAAGUCUUCUGAUUUUUUCGGAAAGAUUUUUUUUCCGGAUUUCUUGUGAAGGAAGCAUAGAAGCUUCGAGAGAAGUUAUAAAAUAGGGUUUUCAGAGAGAAAAAUGGGAAGACUUUAGUGAAUUCUUUUUUCUCUUUUGUUUCAAUCACUGCCUAAAAAUUUGAAAAUAUAUAUUCCGUCUCUUCUUUUCAAUCCGAAUUUUGGUUGAAAAAUGGAGUCUGAUUGAGAAGUCAUCGAGUUCGAAGUUCCGUCGCUGUCCGUGGUUUGGUUUGUGAUUUUGUCCGAAAUUUGGCUACCUGUUUCGCCGUUGAAUUUCCAAAAUUGAAGACAUUGUAACUGCUGAAUUUUUUUGUUUUCAAGAAAUAUUGUAACCUAACAGAUUCAUCUAUUGCUAUCAUAUCUCAUUAAUCUUAUUUUUCUAUAAGCUUUGGAAGAGCCGUUUAAAGAUGGGUAGGAUUUGGGUAUGAGUUGUUUAGGUAAAUGAAUGAUUUCAUUGGAAAUUUGGUCAUCUGAAGUUAAAAAAAAUCAAGUGAAGCUUUCUGUUUGAUCUUCUUAAUCUCCUUGAGUGAUUUGCUUUUAAUUAAUAAUUUGUCAAACUUUGAAUUUGGAUUGGUUUUGUUCCGUAAAAAUAGUUCUAAGAUACUUUGUUUGAGUUUGAGGCUCAUGUCUGAAUUUUCCUCCACCUUCUUAGAGUUAUUUUAGUGAAAAAGGAAAUGAAGAUGGAGAAAUUAUUUACUGUUUGAAGGGUUGCGAGCUUUUGUUUGGAUUCACCAGUUAUUCAAAUAUUUUAAAGUGGAUUUUAAACAGUGUUUAAGCUAAGGUUAUCUUCUCAGUUCUUUUCCCCCUUAACAUUAGAAUGAUGCCCUAAUUUGAAAAACUUAGAUGCCUAAACGAGUUUCCAGCAUGUUGCUUUUAUUUUUCUUUCAUUAACUUUAAUGUGUUUGAGUAAAGAGUUCCUUUGGUACUUUCAAAUUUUACAUUAUGUCCACGCUAUAUUACUUCUCUGGACGAAUUUUGACAAAGACAUGUCUUCUUUUGGAUCAAAUGAAUUAGAAUACAGUUGCUUUGUUUAGAAUUUUUAAUGUGCUUAAGUUCGGUCCACUAUUUUGUGGCAUAUUCUGGGUGAUUUAUUCUUUUGCAUGCUUUGUGAAUAAUCUGGCAGACAACGGGAUGAGAAUGAGGCAUGUAUGUUCACAGGUAAGAGAUAACUUGGUCAUAAGUUUAGCUCUAAGGAAAGAAUGCAAAUGCAAAUUUGGGUUUAGAUUAAGUUGUAGGAUUUGAUUUAGAUUGGAAGGCUAAUUAGUUAAUCGGGGUGUGGUAGUACCUUGAGCGGCUCUUCUGAUAGCUUCAAAAAUUUCUUUUACUUCUUUUGCCUUUCUUAGCUCCAAUUUUCCUUAAGUGUUUUGAUCAUGUGUCUGUCUAUCCUUUAUUUCUCGUCGUUUGUAUGUAUGAAAUGAAUUGUUAGUUGGGUCGUGGGGGUUGUAAAGAUCGAGCUCGUUAGCUAUUAAACUUUAAUUGCAUACUUAGGAACGGGGCUCGGUCUAAAUAAAUUAAAAAGAGUUAAAGCUAAAAAUAAAACACGAGCAUGAAUUGAAAUUUUUAUUUUUUAUAUUUUAGUUCUUUUGUUAUUUUGUUUAUUGACCAUAUGUUUCGAUAGGAGAAUGUUUAGGCCGACCACACUCAGGUAGGCAAUUUAGGACAUUUCUUAUUUUUCUUUUUUAAGGUGAGAGGUCUCCCCUUUAGUUUAUUACUUAACAGGGGAAUGCCCCAUAGAGUUUUUCCGAAGGCAUCAUCCUUAUAGCCGGGAGACAUCAUUCCAUGGCCUAAGGAUCUUUCAAAAUUGUAUAUCAUUAUUCAAAGGCGUCAUAGUCCAGAGGAACCAUCCUCAUGGCCCGAGGACACCAUUUUAUGACCUGCAAAUUCCUUAUCAUACGCUUCAUGGCCCAGGACGUCAUGGUCUAAGGACAUCAUUCUCAUCGUCCGAAGACAACCUUCUUGGUCCGAAGGGAAUUUGCAUCAUGUUCAAUUCUUCGCAAUAACCUAUAUAUAUUUUCAUGCAUCGUAUUUUAAGCUUUUGCAGGUAACUCGGGAGGUAACCGUUCUACAAACAGGAGCAAGUUUUGCUCCAGGUUUCCGUUCACAAUGUUCACACCCCUGUCUAUCUCAAACGUAAUCGACGACCGUCAAUUGAUUGUCUUUUAUCCCUUAACCGCUCAAAUACCCGCUUUAUAUAUCCAUAACAUUCAAAAUCGCAUCCAUAGCUCCACCCCAAAAAUUGCUCGUUACAUGCAACAAUGUCCUACCCAAAGGAACCUCUCGAAACAUGCGACCAUUUUUAUAACAACAACAUCGGUUUCGUUCGCCGUUGGAUUCCGAACUAUACACGGCCUGAUUCCCGUAAUAUAGGGAUAUGUAGGCAACUCAGGAACCAGGGUUCGAUCCCAUUUUUUAAAAUCACAUCAUUCCCCACUCAAUUUGGCCAAAAUUGGUCAUCAUUUUCUUUACCCGACAACUCUUUCAUCAUUCUCGGGUAAAGAGCGGCAGCUGUUGACACCCAAUUUUGCCCUCAUAUUUUUCCAAAUAGUAUAUAUUCUUAAAAUGUCAUCUCGAAUUAUUAUUUAAUUACAAGAAUUAUCCAUGUAUUUUCCAUAAUUUUCAUCAAUUUUUAGAGCUUUAAAAUCAAUUUUCUUGCAUUUAAAUUACUUAAUAUUUAUUAAUUAUCCUUUUAAAUUAUUUUGUGAUGUACUAAUCAUCCAAAUUUAUUAUUUAUACCCACAUAUAUGUUUAUAACAUUUCACAUUAUUUCAUACAAUUAUGCUUGUAUUUUAACUACUUACGUAAUUUUUGCAAUGAUAGUCUAUAUUCAUGCAUAAUAACGUUUUACUUACAUUAUUUGAGAUAAAAUAGCAUUUUCAUAUUUUAUAAUGAUAAGUUAUUCUUUCAAUCAUUUUAAUGCAUAAGUAAUAUUUUAUUAUUUAUUAUUAAUUAUUUUAUUUAAAUAAUUUUAUGUAUUAAAUAUAUUGCCCAAAUUAUAUAAUUUUCGGACCAUAUUAAUGGCCCAAACUCCUGGCCCAAUUUCACAGAGCCCAAGUCAGACAAGCCCUCUAAUUCUAACCUGGUCGGGACCCGUCUCCAUGACCCGCCCCACUUUUCUUUUAAUCUUAGUUGUUGAUCUCAGAGAUCAAUGGCCCAUAAACCAUCCCCCUAUUUUAAUUAUCCAACCUCAAACCCUAACCCUAUUUCCCCUCAACAGCCUCCUCUAUACUCUCUCAAACCCUCCCUCCUUUAGAAACCCUAGCCGCAUUCCUCAAUCUUCUCCGAAUUCGAUCAAAUCAUGGAUUUCUUCUGUGAUUUUCUUACCUUUCACGCGUUACCUCAUUGCUACUUACAAGAUUAUGGUAUUACAUAGUACUUUCCCCAUUCUUGGCAAGUACUAAUCUUCCGAAUCAAGCACAAUCAUCACUAGCUCCUCAAGAUUCAAACGAUUUUUCGUCUAUAUACAUUCAUGGUGAGAUUAUAUGGGUCCGAUUCAGUGAGAUUUUUUUAACUAUUUUGGUUGUCCAUCAUGAACUAGGGUUUACCGAAUUUUUCUCCUAAUCCGAUUCUAAAUCGAUUCUGUAUGCUGUUAUUUCCUUUAUAUUGUUUGAUUUUACAGUGUUUCCUUGCUUGUUAUUCAAUUUCUAUUACUACAUAUACUCAUCCCCAAUUUCCCUUGUAAACGGACUUUAAUCACCUUAAGAGCUAUUACUCUCUUACUCCUUCACUCUAUAUUGUUCUGAACUUUGGCUCUUGGCCGACUGAAAGCAAAGGCCAUCGGAAUUCGACUAAUUAACCUUUCUUGGUGCGAGCACUACCCGGGGUUCAUUUGAAACUCUUGGGAACUCUGGCGCACUAAGACUUUGGGUUUUACUGCUCUUUGUUGAUCUUUAGAGUACUGUUGACACUAUUCUUCUUGCUUGUUUGUUUAUCAAUUGAUAACUGGUAAGUUACUUGACCUUCGCAGUUUCAUUCUCUUUCGCUUGUGUUUAUAUUCUGCAUCUUCAUUCCCCUGAAUUUUUGUGGCUCAAUAAAUCAACUUGCCAUGAUGAAACUAAGCCUUAUUGAUUCUCUUAGUUUGCAUGUUCUUUGUUUAAUCAACUCUGUUAUGUCUGCUUCUCAACUACAAAUGCAUUUCUUACAAAUUAUAUCACUUAGUCGUUGUUAGUAGGUCCAGAAUUCUUUAAGUAAUUGCUAUGUGUAUUUGUUUGGUCAAAUUGUUAACUCACAAUUGCUUGGUAAGGGACUCCAUCUGAGUUUUAACAUGGGUCCAAAUAUGGACUUGGGAUGUGCAACUGAUACACUCCAAUGCUUGAGCAACUCACGUCUGGGCCUGCUAUUCGUAGAAAAGUGAGGUUGUGGAAGGCCCGGGCAUUACUGUGUUAUUUUCAUUUUUGAGGCCUACUAUUGGGCCUGUAGUUUCCCGUGUAUAUUAUUUAUACUUAUGUUUAAUAAUUGGACAUGUAAUAAUUUGUAAACAAAUAACUGGGAUGUUAGUGAAAUUGGGGAAACAGGUAUUUUCUAAUAUUUGCAUACAAGGGUAGAAAAUGUGUCUACAGGGUCCAUGUGAUCUACUUGUUAUUCUAUCAAACAUACCAUAUAUGCUAUUUGGUUUGCUAGUAUUGUACACUAGUAGAAACCAUGCCUAUAGGGAAUCACACACUCACUCAACCUAUUUUACUAUCAGAAGCAUGAGUUUAAGUAGUUUACUUAUUCACAUAUCUACUGCUAUGCGUUAUUAGAUUGCAUGCCUAUAGGAAUCAAGUGUCAAUAACUAUUCACUCAAUUUGCGCAACUGUAGUGUACUUACUAGAUAACAUGUCUAUAGGAUUAUAUUGAUUUAUGCUUGGCUAAUCCUGAUUUAGAUACCAUGUCUAUAGGACUUUAAUUGAUUAACUAAUCGACUGUUUCUGUUGUCUUAUUACUCUGCUCACCUAGAUAACAUUGCCUAUAGGAAUAAGUGAUAAAUCUGCCAAUUAUUAGAACCUAACUAUAAACACAGCUGCUCACUUAUAAAGCAUGCCAACAGGAUCAAACGAGAGUAAUUCUGAGUUUUUUUUUCUGUGGCUAUCACUGCCCCCUUGCGCAAAUCAUUUAGAGAUCAAUGUUUAUAGGUUUUAUAAUCGCGAUAGUCCUAAUAACAACACUGCUAUGAGACUUUUCUUAAACCAUGUCUAUAGGUUUAAAAACGACAUCUCGAACCUGAAACUACCUAUACAUAAUAUGGAAUCUGCCCGCAUGCAUUUGUUGUUAUGUGUGGAGGCUAACUUGGGCCUUAGUUGUCUUUACGUGAAGUCGUAUCUGUUUUGAAUGUCGCUUAAUUUUAUCAUUUGAGCAACAUAAGUAAAGUCUAGAACUACCCAAAUAGUAGGUCCAAAGUCUCCUGGAUCAUAGGCAUGGGACGGGUAACGCACGUGUAGGGCACGACUUGGAAUUGAACUAGAAUGCUUUAGGUAAACAAUUUCAACAUAGUAAUCGGGUAGCAGAAGAUGAUAGUCUAUGCUCGUUGAAUAAUAUGAGCAACUCCUCUCUAAAAUAAGUUGUGAAGUAUUAUUUAUGUUGCACGGGGUGAUCCUUUAGGCUAAAAAAUAUAGGACCCCCCCUUUCUUUAUAUAUUUGCUAUUAGACCUAAGUAGUUGUAUCCUUAUAGUCGUACUAAGAUUUGUACUAAUUGUGUUAUAAUGAAAUUCUUCGACCUUUAUAUUUUCUUUGUUUAUUUGAUCACCUAGCCUAAUUAUAAUCCACAUAGUCUUAAGUUCAGUCGGGACCCACAGUUGUGGACCUCGAAGAGUGCCUAACACCUUCUCUUUGAGGUAAUUUGAGCCCUUACCCGAUCUUUGGUGACGUUGAAUAGUUAGACAGAGUUAUUUGCAAAUAGGUGCCCUAACGCACCUUAAAAAAUCGUUAGGUGACAACUUUUCUCUUCUAACACUCUAUCUUCCAUUUAAAAGAGGUGUCACAUGUCGAAACCCGAUUUCGCGAGAAAAAGGGGCGCGACAAUAUCUGCCAUGGAUGCUUCUAGAUUGAUUUAAGAGAGAUCGGAGCUUAGAGAGGGAAAAGAGAAGAUGAGGAAAUAUUUUCACUGUUAUAUUGAAUAACCGCCUAUACACAUAUAUAUACAAUGUAAUAUCAACGGAUUCUAACUAAUUUCUAAUUGUCUAAUUAGCAGCUAAUCUAACAUACUCUUUUCCAGCUAAGUGCUAGUUGGCUUCCUACUCACGUGACACCUUUAACACGUCUUUCUCGAAAAAUUAUAUUGUUUAAAUGGGUUAUAUAUAUUGAUUCCCAUGAACUUUUUAUGUGGUUACUUCUUUAUUUUUUAACUUUUCAUAGUGAAAAUCCUGGUUUCAUUCCUAAUUGUGAAUGGUAGAAUCUAAGGAAAGGCUUACCAAACAUAUUCAUGGAAGAAAGAACCAGUAACAACUUGUAUUAGAUUGUUAAUUUUGACAUAAUUUGAACUUGUUUCCUUUUUGAAAAGAUUAACCUAUACCUACAUCCCCACUCCUCCGAUCUAGCUAAAAGUAGUAAUUCGGAGGUUCUCCCCUAUGUUAUAAAAUUAUUUGGACUUAUUAUAAGUGCAAUAAUUCGAUGCUAACUACUACAAUUAUUCUGUACACUUAAGCCCGCACAAGGAGAUUUCUUGUGGCUUUGGUUUUUCAUGAAAUUCCAAAAAAAAAAAAACGAUUUUCAAAGUGCCUUCUCUGUAUAUAAAUACCUGACAUUGCUUCUCUAUCUUUAAGAAUAGAAAGCUUUUUUUAGGUUACCAACUUCGCUAUAACAAUCGAAAAGACCUGGAACAAAUGAAGCUAUUAUAAAGAGGUUUGACUGCAUUAACCAAUGUUAAAAAAUGUGCAAAUGAAGAAUAAUCAUCAACUAGACAUCUCAUUGUACUUUGGAACUCAUAAACAAAUGGUCAAUAAUGUUAAGUUCAUGUUAAGUUCAUGUUCAUGUUCUUAAUCAAAAGUCUCCAGUUUGAGAAUUAGGAAUGAAAAGGGUCGGAGUCUUUCACCAUUAAAAUGAGCUCGAACCAUAAAUCUCGAGUCCGAGUCCUAAGAAUGAAAAAGGUAAUGAUAGAGAGUACUUCCUUUUUAAUGAGGGUCAAAUUUGAAGUCUCGAGUUCAAGUCCUAGACUAUUUUCCGUUUAAUAAGAUAUACUGAUGUGAAUCCAAAUUAGUCACUUAGUGGAUGUUGAAUACCUAAUUACGAGAUUAUUGUAGCUCCUGUUUGGUCAUAAAUUUUGGUUACUUUUUUUUAAAAUAAAUUUGAAAAAAUACUGUUUGUUCAUAAAAUAUGAUCAAUUUUAUUAAAAAAAUUGAAUUUUUUUAAAUGUCCCAAAAACUAGUUUUGGGUAGUUUCGGGGUGAAAUUCUUUCUUUAGCUCACAAAACUUCAAGCUUUUUUCAAAUAAAAUGCAUGUUCAAACACAAAUUUAAUUUUCGAAAAUUAUUUUUUCACACAAUUUUAAAAACUCUUUUUUUCAAAUUUCAACCAAACACCAGCGAUCAAACCAAACAAAUGAAGAAAACUACCAAAAGAGGAGCCAAAAAAUACACAAAUAAACACAUAAAAAUUCAAGAGUAUGCUUAAUUCGACAAAACAACAACAACCUAGUAAAAUCCCACAAGUGGGGUCUGGGGAGGGUAGUAUGUAUGCAGAUCUUACCCCUACUCCAAAGGAGUAGAGAGGUUGUUUCCGGAAGACCCUCAGCUCAAGAUAAUAAGAAAAACAAAAAGGAGAGAAUAUUAGUUUCACCACAGAGAUCAUAGGAAAAAUAGGAACAUGAAAUGCAGAAGGAAAAAUGCAAAACAAAAAUGAUGGCUACUAAAUAGGUCUUGCACCAAAAAGAGAAAAUAGUAAGACACGACAAUGCCCCUAGCUAUUUCAUACAAAAACCCUACCAGACUAGGCUCACAACAGUACAAGGUAACGCAACACUCAACUAUCUCCUAGCCUACAACCGUAAUACUUGACCUCCACAACUUCCUAUCAAGUGUCAUGUUCUCGGAAAUUUGAAGCCUCGCCAUAUCCUGCCUGAUCAGUUCUCCCCAAUACUUCUUAAGUCGCCCUCUACCUAUUAUCGUGCCCUCCACAACCAGUUGCUCACACCUCCUUACUGGAGCAUCUGGGCUUCUCCUCUGUACAUGUCCGAACCAUCUGAGCCUCGCUUCCUGCAUCUUGUCAUCAAUGGGAGCCACAUGCACCUCCUCCCAAAUAUCAUCAUUUCUAAUCUUGUCCAUCCUAGUGUUCCCGCACAUCCACCUCAACAUCAUCAUUUCUGCUACUUUCAUCUUUUGGAUAUGUGAGUUCUUAACAGGCCAACACUCAGCCACAUACAUCAUGGCCGGUCUAACCACCGCUUUAUAGAACUUAACUUUGAGUAUCGUUAGCACUCUCUUGUCACACAAAACUCCGGAUGCUAACCUCCACUUCAUCCAUCCUACCCCAAUACGGUGUGUGACAUCCUCAUCGAUCUCCCAUCCCCCGUGGAUAACCGACCCAAGUUACUUGAAGCUACCUCUACUUGGGAUAACCUGUGAUUCAAGCCUCACAUCCACGCCCACUUUCUCCGGCUCAGUGCUGAACUUACACUCCAGGUAUUCCGUCUUUGUUCUGAUCAGCUUGAAACCUUUAGACUCAAGAGUUUGUGUCCAAACUUCUAGUCUCUCGUUAACACCGGCUCGUGACUUAUCAAUCAGAACUAUGUCAUCGGCAAAUAGCAUGCACCAUGACACCUCCCCUUGAAUAUAGUUUGUUAAUGCAUCCAUCACCGGGGCGAAUAAGAACGGACUGAGAUUUGGGGAAACUAAUUGAAAAAGAAAGAGAGAGAGUAUAAGUUAUUAUACUUGGUCAAAGGCUCCUCGAAUACCAAACUGGUUCUCAUAAACGAGUCAACCAAUUGUUGAUACCCGCUUUUCUUUUCCGACUUAUAGUAAUUGUCUUUUUGAUAGUAACACGCUUCAAAAUUUCAAUACUUGAAUUCCUUUCUGAUCUUUUCCAGGUUUUCCAUCGAUUAAUUGGCUUUGCAAAGAGUGGAAUGAAUGUAACAAUUUGCAAGAAAUAUUCUUUUGGAUCAUAUCCAUUUGUUUCGUUUGAGUAACUAUUUUGACUUUUUUGGCGAAAUUAUUGGUAUAAUCAUAUUAAUUUUCGGGAAAUUACUGCUAAAAAUAUAUUUCUACACUUGUAAAAAUUAUAACAUGUUAUUAUAGGGGGAUUUGCAUCUAUACCCAGUUUUUAGGUCAUCUUUUAACUUAUACCCGUUUUGCAAAAAAAAUUUACAAGUGUACCCACUUUUCGGUUAAUUUCAGACAUACGGGCCUGAAGUAGCAAAAAUUUAUUUCUGAAGUUUGAAAUUCAGAAUGUUUUGCCUGAAGUAUCGCCUUAUCAAAGCAAAACUUCACAUAUUUUUGCCUGGAGUUUGGCCUGACUUGCAAAGGCAAUCACACAAACUUCAGUGCAUAGUGCAAUUAAUGGAAAACUUCAGUUCAAUAAAACUACAGCAUGUUUUGGCUGAAGUUUUUGUUUUAUAAUUGCUGAACUUCAGCAUUCUAGGAGCUGAAGUUUGUUUUGUAUUUGCUGAACUUCAGCAUUCUAUGAGCUGAAGUUUGUUUUGUAAUUGCUGACUUCAGUAUUCUAGGAUCUAGAGUUUGUUUUGUAUUUGCUGAACUUUAGCAUUCUAGGAGCUGAAUUUUUUGUUUAUAUUUGCUGAACUUCAGCAUUCUUAGGAGCUCUUACAAAAUUAAAUUGCAGCAACUGGAACUAAUUUCAGAUAUUUCUCUGAUAUUGCUAUGUCCAGAAGCGGGCAAGAAAAGAAUAUGCAUGUUUACAUUAUAUCAACAGAUAUCUAGUCCUUAAAGUAGUAUUAUAUUUCAAAUUGGCAUUAAACUGUUCUUACAAGUUUGCAAGAAGUGAACAACAACUUUUUAUGAGUCAUAAAAGAUCGAUCGCUUUUAAUCAUUCACAUUAAGCACUCUAGAUUCAAUGGAACGUUUACACCAACACUUAUUCAACUAGCUGCCCAACUAUGUACAAUGUUUACUAUGAAAAGAAGAAGAGAAACCAUUUUUUUUUUGUAAAAGGUAAAAUAUUGACAUUUGCAACCAAUUGUUUUUUGUAAAAAUAUCAUAAAUUACAUUAAAAUAUAUUUACAACCAACCAUAUAAAAUCAUUGUCACCCGAAGAAGAAAGAAGAAGAAGGAGGAGAAGAAGAAAACGAAGGAGACGAAGGAGGAGAAAGAUGCCUGAAGUUGUUUAAAAAGUGGGUACAAGUUAAAACUUUUUUAAAGUGUGUAUAGGUUAAAUGGGGGCGACCAAAUAGGGUGUCCUGUAUAAUUUUUACGUUAUUAUAUACUCCUAGUAUAUAUUACUAGUAACUACCACUUGUAAGCACGUAAUUUUUGACCUGUCAAUUGUUCAAGCUAUUCCAACAUUUUAUACAUAUCUAUUUGAGUCUAUAUUAAUCUUUUUUUAGGAUUUUAAUACGUAUAAAUACUUUUAUUUUUAUUUUGUUGUUUUGAGUAUUCAAAAAAAAUCAAAAGAAAAAAAACGCAAAAAUAGUUUCAAGUCUAUUUUAAUUUAAGGUUAAUUAGUAUUUUAAGUAGUAAUACUAUUUUAUCCUAUUUUUAUAGAUUUUUAUUUAGUAAGAUCAUUUGAAAACACAAAAAUAGUUGUUUUUCAAUUAAUUAGCGUGUUUAAUUAAAUAUAGUAUUUAGUUAAAGAGAAUUAAUUAAUAUUCAUAGUAUUUUGUUCUUAUUGAUGAAAAACAAUUGAAAUUGGGCAAAAAUAAUUUUUUUAGUAGCCUAAUUUAGGGGUUGAGCCCAAAAUAAUCAACCUAAUCCACCACCCAUUUCCCCCUAGCCCAAUGCCCUUAACCCCUGCCGACCCGCGACUUGUGCCCCAAUUCUCUGACCCGCCCAGCACUCCUAAAUCCCAACCAUUUAUCCCAUCUAAUCCAACAACCCUUAUUCAUUCUCCCAACACAUAAAAAACUAACCUAACAUUUAUCCUAACCCUAAAGAAACCCAUCUCAGUCGUCUCAACCCUUCACCCCUUCUCUGCCGCCGCAACAACAACCAAACCCACAGGAAAUUUCCCCCCAAAUCAUAUGGUCCCCUCUCUAUUCUCUCAUUCUUCCACGUUACCCGACCCCUAAUGAUUUCUGACAAAGAAUAUUCUGUUCCCCCUUAUUUCACGCAUUUUUUAUUCUCUUGGAUGGAAUUCGGAUCAAUGGUGGACGUAGGAUUUGAGUACUUUAAAUCCUAGUCCUCCAUUUGUCUUAAAACUGUUCAGAAAAAUGAGAACAAAAAUAUUUUUUGGAUUUUGAAAGUCUUCGGAUUUUUUUUGGAAAGAUUUUUUUCUUCGGAUUUCUUGUGAAGGAAACAUAGAAGCUUCAAGAGACGUUAUAAAACGGGGUUUUCAGAGAGAAAAAUGGGAAGAAAAGUUUUGGAAAAAUCUAGGGUUUUGGAAAGAUUUUUUUUGUGAAGGAAGCCGUUGAAUUUUAGAAGAAGGAAAAUGAGAAGCCCAAAACCCUAGCUUUUUUGGAAAGAUUUUUUUGUGAAGGAAGCCGUUAAAUUUCCGAAAAAAUGAGAGGUUAUAUGCAUUCAGUGUUUUUUGUUUCAAUCACUGCCUAAAUAUUCAAAAAUAUAUAUUUCGCCUCUUCUUUUCGAUCUAGAUUUUUAUUGAAAAAUGGAGUUUGAUUGAGAAGUCGUCGAGUUCGAAGUUCCGUUGCCGCCCGUGGUUUGGUUUGUGAUUUUGUCCGAAAUUUGGCUGCCUGUUUCGCCGUUGAAUUUCCGAAAUUGAAGACAUUGUACCUGCUAAAUUUUUUUGUUUUCAAGAAAUAUUGUAACCUAACAAGUUCAUCUAUUGCUAUCAUCUCUCAUUAAUCUUAUUUUUCUAUAAGCUUUGGAAGAGCCGUUUAAGGAUGGGUAGGAUUUGGGGUAUGAGUUGUUUAGGUAAAUGAAUGAUUCCAUUGUAAAUUUGGUCAUCAGAAGUUAAAAGAAAUCAAGUGAAGCUUUCUGUUUGAUCUUCUUAAUCUCCUUGAGUAAUUUGCUUUUAAUGAAUAAUCUGUCAAACUUUGAAUUUGGAUUGGUUUUGUUUUGUGAAAAUACUUCUAAGAUCUCAUGUUUGAGUUUGAGGCUCAUGUCCGAAUUUUUCUCCACCUUCUUAGAGUUAUUUUAGUGAAAGAGAAAAUGAAGAUGGUGAAAUUAUUUACUGUUUGAAGGGUUGCGUGCUUUUGUUUGCAUUCACCAGUUAAUCAAAUAUUUUAAAGUGAAUCUUAAACAGUGUUUAUGCGAAGGUUAUCUUCCUAGUUCUUUUUCCCCUUAACAUUAGAAUGAUGUCCUAAUUUGAAUUACUUAGAUGCCUAAACGAGUUUCCAACAUAUUGCUUUUAUUUUUCUUCCAUUAGCUUCAAUGUGUUUGUCUAAAAAGUUCCUUUAGUUUUUUCAAAUUUUACAUUAACUCCACGCUACAUUACUUCUCUGGACGAAUUUUGGCAAACACGUGUCUUCUUUUGGAUCAAAUGAAUUAUAAUACAAUUAUUCUAUUUAGAAUUCUUAAUGUCCUUAAGCUCGUUCCACUAUUUCGUGGCAUGUUCUGAGUGAUUGAUUCUUUUGCAUGCUUUAUGAAUUAUCUGGCAGACAACAGGAUGAGAAUGAGGCAUGUAUGUUCACAAGUAAGCGAUAACUGGGUCAUAAUUUUAGAUCUAAGGAAAGAAAGCAAAUGCAAAUUUAGGUCUAGCUUAAGCUGUAGGAUUGAGGUAGAUUGGAAGGCUAAUAGUUAAUCGGGGUAAGGUAGUACCUUGAGCAGCUCUUCUGGUAGCUUCAAAAAUCUCUUUUACUUAUUUUGCCUUUCUUAGCUCCAAUUUUCCUUAAGUGUUUUGAACGUGUGUCUGUCUAUCCUUUAUUUCUCAUCGUUUGUAUUGUCAUGGGCGGCUUUCCAGCCGUGCCCCAUGACCCCUUGGGCGCGCCCCGUGGCGUCCUAGCAAGCCUUCCAACGCCUAGCACCACGGACGGCCACGUGGUCUUGGCCGCGCCAAGUGACAAGCGCGCAUGUGCCUCUGUCGCCCCACCGAUAUCCCUCGCCAGCGCCCAACUGCAGGCAGAUGCCAACAGCACCGCGCGCGCAGNNNNNNNNNNNNNNNNNNNNNNNNNAUUACUGCCCAUCAGGGAUACGGUUCCUGAACUAAGAACCAGCCUAGGGCAAAGGUUGGACGACCUGGACCGCAGGGUGAUCCAGGCCGAAGUUGACAUAGAAAACAUCAGUCGUGACUCCGAGGGAGAUCGGCAAACAGCAGCUGCAGAGGCAGCCAAAAUUUUCGGCAAAUUCGAGGGACUCCAACAGGAGCGUGCCGAGGAUUUAGCUUAGAGGGAACAAGAGGCAGACAGGGUGACUGCCAUGCAACAAACUAUUGAUGACUUGACAGACAAGCUCAAUGUUGUCAAUGCUGCUUUACAGGGCCUGCUGUGAGGCGGUGGAAACCAGAUCGGGGGCGCUGCAAACCCCACUUCCGCGACACAAAAACUAAAAAUUCCUGAGCCAAAGCCAUACAGUGGAGCUAGGAAUGCCAAGGAAGUGGAGAACUUCAUAUUUGAUGUCGAACAAUAUUUCGAUGCUGUUGGGGGCCUAGAAGAAGCUAAAAAGGUAGCAACUACUCCCAUGUAUCUUCAGGGUGAUGCUAAACUCUGGUGGCGGGUGAAAUACGAAGCCAUCAAGGCCGGUGAAGAUGCUCUCGAAACAUGGGCAGAACUGAAGGCAGCCAUCCGCCUACAGUUCUUCCCCGAAAAUGUCGAAUACAAUUCAAGGAGAAAGCUACGGGAGCUCCGCCAAACCAAAUCCAUGCGGGACUACGUGCGGGAAUUCUCCGCGCUCAUGCUAAGCAUACGCGACAUGGGGGACAAAGACAAGCUCUUCACUUUCCUAGAAGGGCUGAAACCUUAUGCCCGUAUGGAGCUACAAAGACAACAGGUAGAUACCCUGCCCAAGGCGAUCCAAGCAGCUGAAUGCCUUGGGGACUAUCAAAUGGAAGCUCGGAAGGAUAGGCCUCAACCGCCUGCCCGAGCGGGAUUCAAAGGGGGCCAGUCUAGCAAUGGUGGCCCUAGCAGAAGUGGGGGAGAUCGGAGCUCAACCAAACCUAAGGCUCCCUCCACAGGCAGCAACAAUGCUGCGUCUAACAGCAAUGAUCGGGGGAGGAAGCCUCCUUCAGGAUGCCGUCAUUGCGGCGGACCAUAUUAUAACAAUGAGUGCCCACAGGUACAGAUGAACGCCUAUCAGACUUUUAAUGAUGGGACGGAUGACGACUCAGACGAUGCGGAUCAGACUGAACCAGUAGGUGCCUUCAAUGCAAUUGUUGGCUCCAUUUCUGAGGCAUUAGCAGAGACUAGUGCUGGUAUCAGUAAGAAGAAGGACCCAUGUCCAGUCACCAAGAAAGGGAAAAAGAAGGCGGAUGAUGAGACUCCUCUUAAGCACGAGAGGACCUUAAUGUUCGUUGAGAUGAAGGUGAAUGGCAAGCCCAUUCGGGCCAUAGUAGACACGGGUGCUACCCACAACUACUUAGCCUCGACUCAGGUGGAGCGCCUUGGUCUAGUUGUAGGGAAACGUAGAGGCCGUGUCAAGGCUAUAAACUCACCUCCCCAGCCAGUGGGUGGAAUAGCCAAAGAAGUACCGGUGAAGCUUGGCCCUUAUGAAGGAAAAUUCAACCUGCGCGUGGUGAUCAUAGAUGACUUCGAGUUGAUAGUUGGAUUGGAAUUCUUGAGGCAAACCAACACCAUGCCUGUACCGUAUGCUGACAUGUUACUGAUGAUGGGAGCAAACGGGACCAAGCCCUGCAUUAUCCCGUGCAUGCCCAUGAAGAUGGCCAUUGAAAACAUCUCGGCCUUGCAGUUGAAGAAGGGGGUCAAAAGAAAUGAACCCACGUUCCUGGCAACCCUCUGCAUCGAAGAUGUAGAACGCUCCUCGGGUCCCAUUCCUGAACCCGUGAAGGAGCUACUACUAGAGUUUGAAGAUGUCAUGCCACAAGACAUGCCAAAGCGACUACCGCCUAGGCGCACUGUGGGCCAUGAAAUUGAGCUGGUGCCGGGUGCGAAGCCACCCGCCCGGGCGCCUUACAGAAUGUCACAACCCGAACUCACCGAGCUUCGGAGACAAUUGACGGAAAUGCUAGACAUAGGGAUUAUCGUACCCUCCAAAUNNNNNNNNNNNNNNNNNNNNNNNNNNNNNNNNNNNNNNNNNNNNNNNNNNNNNNNNNNNNNNNNNNNNNNNNNNNNNNNNNNNNNNNNNNNNNNNNNNNNNNNNNNNNNNNNNNNNNNNNNNNNNNNNNNNNNNNNNNNNNNNNNNNNNNNNNNNNNNNNNNNNNNNNNNNNNNNNNNNNNNNNNNNNNNNNNNNNNNNNNNNNNNNNNNNNNNNNNNNNNNNNNNNNNNNNNNNNNNNNNNNNNNNNNNNNNNNNNNNNNNNNNNNNNNNNNNNNNNNNNNNNNNNNNNNNNNNNNNNNNNNNNNNNNNNNNNNNNNNNNNNNNNNNNNNNNNNNNNNNNNNNNNNNNNNNNNNNNNNNNNNNNNNNNNNNNNNNNNNNNNNNNNNNNNNNNNNNNNNNNNNNNNNNNNNNNNNNNNNNNNNNNNNNNNNNNNNNNNNNNNNNNNNNNNNNNNNNNNNNNNNNNNNNNNNNNNNNNNNNNNNNNNNNNNNNNNNNNNNNNNNNNNNNNNNNNNNNNNNNNNNNNNNNNNNNNNNNNNNNNNNNNNNNNNNNNNNNNNNNNNNNNNNNNNNNNNNNNNNNNNNNNNNNNNNNNNNNNNNNNNNNNNNNNNNNNNNNNNNNNNNNNNNNNNNNNNNNNNNNNNNNNNNNNNNNNNNNNNNNNNNNNNNNNNNNNNNNNNNNNNNNNNNNNNNNNNNNNNNNNNNNNNNNNNNNNNNNNNNNNNNNNNNNNNNNNNNNNNNNNNNNNNNNNNNNNNNNGCGCCGCGCGUGCAGACAACGCCGCACGUGUAGACCCUGAUGCCAAAGACAAUGCUACUGACAAUGGACCUGUUUUCUGCCUUAUAGCAAACUAAGUCUUUUUCAUUGUAAAUAUAAGUAGUUUUAUUCCAUGUACUUCCAUUAUGUUUCUCUAGCUUAAUCAAGUCUAGUCUUAUAGCUUUGGAUUAUUUUUUUUAAGCAUUAUUAGGGGGGAUCGAGCAAUCAAACUUUCUAGCAAGCAAACAAUUCUCUGUACUGGUGUCUCUCCCCCUCGACACCGCGUUGCCUUUCUGUAAUAGCUUUCUUUCAUUCUCAAUUCUCAUUCCUGUUCUCUCAAUUGCUCUUGACAUUGGUUUUUCCCGUACGGCACUGACAAUCUAGUCUAGCGUACGGAGGAGACCUCAGUUGGCGGACAGCAACUGCACUGACAUCAGUUGCUUAGCCUUACAUCGCCCUUCCAAGGAAUCUCAGGAAGGCGCCGCGUAACAAUAUGUAUGAUAUGAACUGUUUGUUGGGUCGUAGGGGUUGAAAAGAUUGAGUCUGUUAGCUAUUAAACUUUAAUUGCAUGCUUAGGAACUGGGGUCGGUCUAAAUAAAUUAAAAAGAGUUAAAGCUAAAAUCAAAACACGAGCAUGAAUUGAAUUUUUUUAUUUCUUUAUUUUAGUUCUUUUGUUUAUUGAUCAUAUGUUUCGGUAGGAGCAUGUUUAGGCCGACCACACUCGGGUAGGCAAUUUAGAACAUUUCUUAUUUUUCUUUUUCAAGGUGAGAGGUCGCCCCUUUAGUUUAUUACUUAACAGGGGAAUGCCCCAUAGAGUUUGUAUAUAUAUAUUAUACUCUUUUAUCAGAGUUAUGCCCCGAAGUAAAUGUAAAUGUAGGUUGUGGCAUCAUCAGUGGAAGCAUAAUGUAGCCUAGUAAGACUUAUUUUAUUUUCUUUUAUUAGGAAAGGGAUGACCUUAAACUUUUUUGCUAUUUAUUAUCCCUUUAUGUGUUUCCUACCUCAGCCCGAAUAUUCUUCAAAGCCAACUAGAUCAAGUAUGCAAUCGUAUUAGUUACGGAACUCGGGCAAUGCCUAACACCUUCUCCCAAGUCAAAUGAACCCCCUUACCUAAAAUCUUUAGUGCAUUCAGUUUUAGAGUCGAAUGUGUUUUGAAAAGAAAAUUGCUUUUAAAUGGUGACUUGGCAUACCGAGAUUAUAUUCCAAGUGGCAACUCUGAAUAAUUUUUUUUCUUUAAAACACAAUUUUGUCACUUUUCAAUCUUGAAAAACUCUUUUGAGCUUCAAAAAUCUUUUAUUAUUUUUAAGAGGGUUAGUGAGGUAAAAAAAAAGGGGUGUGAUUGCUUUGGCAGCUCUGCUGGGGAGUUGCAGGUUCGAGCUGGUAGUUGAUCUUGUUGGCUUUUUAGAAUAUUCGGUUGAGGUGUUUGUUUACUUUAUUUGCUUCGUUUAUUUUAUUUCUUGCUUUGUUGAUUAUCUGUUUACCGCUUUCUUUAUGUGCUUUACUGCUUUAUAAUUGUCAUCAUGUGCAUAAUUAUGGGUCUUUUUUCUACAACAAGUGUUUCGGAGUACGUUUGAGCAUACAUGACCUUUUUGUGAGUCACCCGUAUCAAAAGUAGGGUCCACUCACAUUUUUCUUUAAUAGUUUUUCCAAAAACAAAAAAAAGAGAGAAAUAUAAAAUCCAAAAAGAUUUUAUAUUUUCUAUUAUUUUUCAAAAAAGACAAAAUAUAUUUUCUCCAAAAUCAGUUCUUUUUCAACCAUGUCCAAUCUUCCCGAACUACGCGAACCUGAUUCUCGUCUUUCGGGCGGGAUACAUAAGUAACCCACAUAGGGUCCGGUCUUCUUAUUGAGUUUUAAGUUCUUGUCUUCGGGGGUCGUAGCUAAAUCUUGCAUGUCUAGCCAUUUUUUGCUACAUUGGUCAUUUUGCAAAAUAGGGCUAUUUUUGCAAAGUGGUUUGUUGAACCGUGUCCGGAGAGUCUUGAAUCCACAAUAAACGUUCUCAUAAUUUUAAGGUCCGUCCUUGUCAAAUUUACAUGUCUAGCCACAUUUGGGCCACAUCGACUGUUAUUGCAAAAUGGAGCCAUUUUCGCAAAAUUAUCUCAGUGACUCAUGUCUUAGAAUCUUGGUCCACAAAGAUUUCAUAUUACUUCAAAGUACAUUCCCGCUGAAUUUGCGUGUCUAGCCACUCAUGGCCAUUUCGACCAUUUUUGCAAAGUGAGGUCAUUAUGGCAAGGUAAUUUUGGAGACCUGAUUCCUAAAAGGUAUCACACCCCUUUUUUACAAACCUCACUAACUCUCUUAAAUUAAUAAAAGUGAUUUUUGAAGCUCAAAAGAGUUUUCAAUUAGAAAAUGACAAAAAUGGUGUUCAAAAGGAAAUAACUCAGAGUCGCCACCUGACUUAGAUUUCGGUGUGCUAGGUCACCGUUUUUAAAAAAAAUAAUUUUUCCUUUAAAAUACUUGGACUUCAAAACUAAGUCUGCACCAGAGAUUCGGGUAAGGGGGUUCAUUUGACUCGGGGAGAAGGUGUUAGGCGCUCCCCAAGUCCCGUAACUAGUACGGUUGCAUACUUGAUCUAGUCGGCUUUUAAGAUAUUCGAAUUGAGGUAAUAACACACAAAAAGAAAAUAAACAAUCAAAAGAGGCUUGAGGUCGUCCCCACCUAAAAGAAAGAAAAUUAAAAGAAGAAAAUUAAAGUUCUAGAUUAUCCUACACUACUUCUUCUACGAUGUUCGCCAUGACCUCCAAUUACAUUCACUUCGGGGCAUAUCCCUGAAAUAAAAUAUAUACAAAUCCCUCAGGUCAUUCCCCAGAUAAAUUUAACUAAGGGAACGGCCUCUCGCCUCAAAACUAACAAAAAUCCUAAGGCUUGCCUACCCAAGUGUUAGCGGACCUAAGCAUACUACUACCGACUCAAUAGAGUAAAAUAAUAACAAUUGGAAUCAUCUUAAGCUCUAUUAAUUGAUGCUGUUAAUUUUAAUCCCCAUCAAACACAUGCUCAUAUCCUUCUUUUCAAUUUGCAAUAUCCCAAACCGCGCGACCACUUAACUCAUUAACUGCUCAUCCAUUUUUAUUGCUUAAAUAGAGUUUGGAAUUCAAAAGCUCAUGUCGUUUUGAAACUCACAAGCAAUAAGAUCACGAACGGAAACUCGGCAGGCAACAGACUGAUCGAACUUCGCCGAAGUGACACGAAUCUCGCCGAUGAACUCAAACUCAGCUCAACCUCAAUCGAACUCCAUCUCUGAAACCAAGUGAAAUAUAAAAAUAGAAAUAAAAAAAAAAUUGUAGUAUUUUCUGAAAUUCUAAUGCUGACUCAAAACAGAAACAUUUUCCUUUCUUUUGUAUAUCGUUUUCAAUUCAACUAAAAACAGAAACAUUCUAAUGCUGACUCUAAAGAAACAGAAAAAUCCCAUGAAAAUUGAAGAACUCCGGACUUUCAACUUCAGAAAGAGGAGAGAAGAUGAACUCUUUUCCCGACGAGUUUGGGCGACGGGCAGCGGCUGCUUGACGAAGUUUCCGCCGGAUUUCCGGCGUGUGUGAUGGGGUGGGCAGACUAGUGGCAGCGGAUGACUGUGUGGGGGCCGGCAUGGUUAGGGUUCUUCAAGAUUAAGGUUCCUCCUUCUAGGGCCCUUGAAAUUAAGAAGAUGACGUAUUUAUAUGGCUAUGAAAAAUGAUCUUGUCCCUUAGAUGGGGAUGGAAUGAAUAUCUUGGAUUAAUUGCUCAAAAAUAGCUGAUGGCUCAAAAGAUUGGGCCCAGGUGGAAGAUUCGAAUUUGGGUAAAUUAUUGCCCAAAACCUUAGCUAAAUCUCUUUAAUAUGAGAUAAAAAUACUACAUAAUGUAAAAAUCAAUCUAAUUAAUUAAACUAAAUUAUAUAGUAUAAAAUAUGAAGCUAUUUUUGCUAUUUUCAAAGAUUAUAUUAAAAUAAAAUAAAAAUAGAUUCAAAGUAAUAUAUUCCUAUAAAAAUAUCUAAUACGUGAAUUAAAUAGAUAAAUAUGGAACUAUUUUUUGUAUUUUUUUAAUUUUGUGAUAAAAAUAAUGUAAAAGAGUCAACAUUAGAUGAAAUAACUAUAUUAGACCUAAACUAAGUAUUUAAAUGUUAAAAUAUGUAAAAUCUUGGGGAGGAUCAAAAAUCACAUGUCUACAUACGGUUGGGGGCUACAUAGGCCCUCGUGAGGUGUUUUUCAUGUCUUAGAGGUCAUACUAAAUGAGUUUGCACUUCUAGUCACCUUCGGCCACAUAGGCCAUUUUGCAACAAUAUCCUUAGUCAUGUUUUGCGUGUGUCCGAUAGAAAAUGUCAAUAUCACGUAGUGUCUUGAGUCGUUAUCUCUAUUUCGACUUAUUCCUUUCAACAUGUAUGGAUCCACUCACCAGUGCUAGAGUGUCAAUGGUGGUCAAAGUCCCUAGGAGGCUAGUAAAAUGGUGGAACAUAUUCACAUUACUUGAGCAGUAUGACUUGAUGGAUAAAUUAGGGACUCUUAUUUCUUUGAUGGACAUUACCCCCCCCCCCCCCCGAUCCCGACCUUGUAUAGGCAAUGUUGACAUUUUAGGACCCAAAGUGUAUGGUAUUUAAGUUUGGGGAUCUUGAGAUGACACCCACCUUAGCUGAGAUAACCGAUUUGACUCGCUUGCCAUGCCUAGACAAGGAAUUAAUUUGCACAAGGGCUCAUUCAAGCACAAAGUUCCUUAAGAUCAUAGGGAUGGAUUUAGUAGUUACAUGGGAUGUCUGGAUCAAUCUUGGGUGCCUUUGGAAUUUUUAUUUGAGAGGUUGCUCGUCGUACUGGGUAUGAUACCUUCUUAGAUGAGCUUUCCAUAUCAUAUGAUUCUUGGAAGAAGAGGCGUACUAUGGUCUUCGCUAUCAUAUUGUUGGGUCUCUUAGUAUUCCUUUUGGAGGGUAGACACAUUAGCACGCGCCUGUGGUCAGUAGCCUUUGAACUUUUUCGUGAGAAACACGGUAGUAAGGUCACCUUAGUUCUAACAAUUUUGGCAGAAAUCUACCAUGCUUUGAGCAGGAUUUGAGAAGGCGAGAGGUUCUUUGAGGGUAGAAAUUUAUUGUUGUAGAUGUGGUUGAUAGAGCACCUACAUCCCGCAAAUCUGUUUGAAAAAGAUGUGAUUGAUCGUUGCUUGAAGGAUCGAGUGAAGUUCAUCGAGCAUAGGAUGACGUUUGAUAAGUUCGCCUUACCACUCGGAGUUCAGGCUUGGAUUGAUUAUUUGGGAUCUUUGACUGAGGAGAGGAUUUUGUGGUCAUACCUUGGAUUGAUUAUGACAUGAUCUUAGUAGGGUCCCGUGUGCAAGAUUUCUUGGUAUUGAUUAGACUCUGAUGUACUAGAGUCUAGACCAUAUACCCCUGGUAGAGUUAUGCGUCAGUUAGGAAGGCGACAAGAAGUCCCCUACAUACCCGAUUCUCGUGACUUCAUUAGGGAGAUUGACACUAUGGAUCAUAGGGAGGUCUUAGCGCCAUGCAGCUAAGAUGGGUAGGGAUACUUUAGUAGUUGACCCCCAUUCACCUGGGUAUACCCAUGGGUACUUUAUAUGGCUACAGUCUACUCAGCGGGGAAUUAGCAGGUCGUUGCCUCGACGUGUUAGAGGAGUAUUUGAUGAUGAGGCCACCUAACAGAUAUUGUUUAGACAGUUGAUAGAUCGAUUUACCCAGGCAGAGGAGGCCCACAUAGCAGAGAAGGUCGGGGUUCGAGCUACAUUUUAGUCUUUGAGAUCACAGUUAGCAGUGUUGGUAGAGAACAUGGGACAACACCAUGAGUACCUCACUAGAGUCAGCCUUCCAGAUGUAGGCACACAUUCCUUGGUUCUCAUUCCAAGCUUUGAGGCAUCCUUGCAUGGUAUAAUAUGGAGUUUAGAUUUGACAGGAUUGACGGGGCCCUCUAGAUCUUCAUCAGACCUAUCCCAGCCAGGACCAUCGCAUUCAGAAGCUGCUUGAAGUGGCUUUUUGUUUAUAUGUUUAGAGUUUAUUUUCAUGUUUUCUUUUACUUUCCAGUCUUGUUCAGUAGUAUUGAGUCUUUUAGGUGGUGUUAAAGGCUGUCAUAGUCUAGAAGAGUUUGCCAACUUUCUUGUUACCGUACUUCCUGUUUUGUAUUUUGAAAAACCGGAAAAAUGAUUUUAAAUGAAACAUCCAAAAAGAUUUUUAUUUUUAAUUUAUUUUGUUCAUCACUUUUCCAAAACUAUGCUUGGUCUGAUUCAUAUGGAACAUGAUACGUAGGCAACCUACAUCGGGUUCGAUCGAAUCAUUUUUAAAAUUAAAGAAUAAGAGAUGGAAUUGGAGGAUGCGAGAAAUGAGAGAAAAGAGAAGAGUGACAAGCAAAAAGAAAUCGAGUGGAAAGAAAAUGAGCAAGCCAAGAAGUGCUAGAAAAGAAAGAAAAGAGAAGAUUGAAAUGAGCAUAAAAUGGGAUGAUGCCACAUGACCUUGGGACCCGCAAAGUCACUUUAGAAUUGUUAAUUGUUGCUAGGUGCAUUGCACGUAAUGUGAUAUUAUUAUCUUAUAAAUGCCCUAACGCUAACAUGUUGGCUUUGUUUUGUUCUUCUUUGUUGUCUUUAUUAUAAUUUUAGGAAGGUGGUUAGUUUGUUGGCAUUCUGGCAAGUUAUCCAUACAACACCAGAUUAAAGAGCAAGGCAGUCAUGGCUAACAAAGAAUUUGACACAGGAGUUGUUGACCCAUCGAGAGAGAUUAUGGAGUCGGAAUCUGAAUUAAAAGAGGAGGUCCAGAGGUUGAAGAAGCAGAUGGCAAAAAUGUAUCAGGCUUGGAUCAGGGGGCAUCCUCCACCUUCAUUCCUAACUAACUACACUGAAAACCUGGCCACUGUCCUACCACUAUCACAAGCCCAGAUUUCCACUACCGUCGUUCCCUCCCCUCAACACCCUCUAGGACUUACCCCUUACCCCUUACCACACCUACCCUAGCACCUCAUCCCAAACUUUCCAUGAUCCACCAGCCAAAACAACCCCAUACCCUACUCUGACAUCUACUCUUAUUUUUCUAGAACCUCUACAAGCUACCAUCCACCGAUCUUCUAGUGAACCCAUGUUCAAAGUUCUAGAUGCCCAAUACUAUGCUCCAAAACCAACCUUCAUGGUCCCGGAUCCUUAUUGUUACAACCAUCACUUUGAGCCUCCUGUUGAAACCGAGAAGCCAUCUAAGAACGUGGAGCAAGAUGAGAUAUUUAGGAAAGUGAAGAGUUUAGAGCAAUCUUUGAGGAACAUGAAAGGGAUAUGAAGCCAAGUAAGUGUUUCCUACAAGAACUUAUGCUUGUUCCUCGACGUCCAACUACCCGUCGGGUUUAAGAUGCCAAAGUUUGAUCUAUACGACGGACAUGGGGAUCUCGUAGCCCAUCUGAAAGAUUAUUGUAGUAAGAUGAGAGACGCUGGUGGAGAGGACGAAUUAUUGAUGGCGUAUUUCAGUCAGAGUCUAAGUGGGGAAGCUCUGGAAUGGUACACCCACCAAGACGUUAGUAGGUGGUACAUAUGAGAUGAUAUAGCUCAGGCCUUUGCCCGACACUUUCAGUACAAUAUAGACAUUGUACGGGAUCACCUAUCCCUGACCAAGGUAGACAAGAAGCCCAGCGAAAGCUUUAGGGAAUACGUGUUUAGAUGGAGAGAGCAAGCUGCAUGGGUAAAUCCUCCGAUGGAAGAAGACGAGAUGGUUAAGUACAUUCUUCAAGCCCUGGAGCUUACUUACUUCAGCCAUUUGAUUUCAGCAAUAGGUAAGCCCUUGAAUGAUGUGGUAAAGAUGGCAGAAAUGGUGGAAGAGGGGCUCAAGUCAAGUAAGAUCAUGAGUUACUCCGCCAUAAAAGCAACCACACAAGCAAUCCAGGGUGACAAAUGAUGUUUGUUAGGCAAAAAGAAGAAGGAUGAUGUUGCUAUGGUUGUCUCUAGACCAUGGCGUGGCCCAAGAGGUCCAUCUCACCAGUAUUCUCAACCUCGACCCCAACCCCAAGCCUACACCCAAGCUCCAUAUAAUCUACCCCAUGAUUAUUUCCCAUCACAAGACCCUUAAUACUCAGUCACACCACCCCAAUACCAUGUUCACCACGUACACUCAUAUGAUUAACCCCCUCCUUACCUGCAAUGGCGUGAUCCAACUCCACAAAAUCCUUAUCUACCUCCAAAACCAUACUGAAACCCUACUGGUACAAACUGUCGAGCAAGGCUGAAUUAUAGGAUAGAAAGGCAGCAACGGAAAGAAAUCUUCACCCCUCUUGGAGAAUCCUAUGCUAGUUUAUUUUAAAGGCUAAGACAAUUGGACAUGUUGAGGCCGAUAGAGGCAAAAAUACCAAAUCCACCACCAAAGAACCGUGAUUAUUCUCUAAGGUACGGAUAUUGUUAUAAUGCCCCGGGUUACGACAUAGAGAAAUGUUGGCAUUUGAAGAGAGCAAUCUAAGAGCUUAUUGAUACGCAUCAAAUUGAAGUACAAAUCCCAGAUGUGCCAAACAUCAACCAAAAUCCUUUGCCUGCAUAUGCAGAGACACACAUGAUUGAAAUAGUUCGUAAGGAUGGGGAGUUCAGGAAUUCUUCCAAGUUAGUCAUGAUGAUUCGUGCUAGUGAAGGUAAUUUCAUUAAAGGUCUAGACUCUACCAAAGCAAUGCCCUUGACAGUUGGAGGGGUGAUAGAGAAACUAAGCACGCUCAACGUGAAGCCACCUGUGUUGGUUGUGAAAGGGACUUCGAAGGAUAUUGUGGCAAGUCAGGAAAAGCCAAAAGUGGUUAUGUCAGGGAUCCCAAACAAGACUGUCAUAGUCGCGAAAGGGGCUCCUAUCACCCUUGUUGUUAUUAAGCCAGUGACCCAGUUGCUAGUGGUUGAUACAAAGGCUGUCCCAUGGAAUUACAAACAAGUGAUUGUAACAUAUAAAAGGAAAUAAGUAGAGGAAGAAGUCAAUGAGACUGAAGGACUGACUCGUUCUGAAAGGUGUUUUACCCCAAAAGAAUAAGGGAAGGCCGAGCCAUCCAAGGAUAGCCAAAUGCCUGUAAAGAAGCUGAUCACCGAAUAAGAGGAUGAAGAGUUCCUGAAAAAGAUGAAAAUGCAAGACUAUUCCAUUAUGGAAAAACUAAGGAAAACAUCGACUCAGAUCUCUCUUUUGUCUCUCCUGAUACAUUCAGAUGAACAUCACAAAGCCCUGAUGAAGAUUUUAAAUGAGGCACAUGUUCCUGAUAAAAUCACAGUGAAUGACUUGGAAAAGAUUGCUAACAAUAUCUUCGAAGCAAACAUGAUCACUUUCUCACAUGAUGAACUUCCUAUGGAGGAAACAGAAUACAACCGAGCUCUUUAUCUCACGAUGAAGCGCGAUGAUUCGGUUGUCUCAAGGGUACUGGUUGAUAAUGUCUCUAGUGAAAAUAUUUCCCCUUUAUCUACUCUACAAAAGUUGAAGAUUGACACUGAAAUAAUCCACAUGAAUAGUGUAUGUGUUCGAGGCUUUGAUGGGGGAGGUAAAGAUUUUGUUGGUGAUAUAAUGCUCGAAUUGUCGAUAGGUCCAGUUGAGCUCACUACGGAAUUUCAAGUGUUAGAUGUGGCUAUCUCCUAUAAUCUGGUGUUGGGAAUGCCCUGCAUAUAUGCAGCUAAGGCAGUCCCGUCUUCUCUAUAUCAUAUGGUAAAGUUUGAAUGAGACGGGCAAGAAAUAGUUGUGCACGGUGAUGAGGACUUAUCUGCUUAUAAUGACAAAACUGUUCCAUUUAUUGAAGCUGAAGAUGAUAAAGGACCUUGGGUCUACCAAAUUUUCAAAAUCGUGUAUGUUGAAAAGAUUCCUGAAGGAGAAUGCAUUCCAAGUUCGAAGCUAUCCUCCGCGUCCGUCAUGGUAGCAAAUGAAAUGUUGAAGAAUGGCUUUGUGCCAGGUAAAGGUCUGGGUUCAUCUCUACAUAGUAUUGUUCAUCUAGUGUGCCCACGCGAAAACCCUGGUACAUUUGGUUUGGAUUCACUCCCACAAAGAAGGACGUGAAAAGGGCUAAAAAUAUGAAAUAGAAGAUAUGGUCACUCCCCAAGCCUAUUCCACAUAUCUCCAAGUCUUUUGUCAAGCUAGGGGCCGCAAAACGUCCAAUAUCAUUAGUCCCGAAACCUGUGGUCGAUGUUGAUGAAGAGCUGAUCAAGAGGUUCCAGAGUCUGUUUGAUGAGGUUAACAUGGUGGAAAUUGGGAAAGGUUCCAAUAACGCAGAUGUGCAGUUCGUUAGGCCAAAUAUGAAGCUUAGCAAUUGGGAAGCUACUCCUCUCCCCACCCCAAAAGAGGUUUGGUAGUUUGCUUUGUUUUCCUUUCUGUUAUUUAGGUUAUUCCAGGGUUGUAAUCCAGAUUUUUAUUUUUUUCUUGUUUUGAUGUUCAAACCCUUCUAUCCUUUUAUUUUUAAUGAAAUGCAAUUUCCCGUUUUCCACUAUUCCUAAUAGUGUUUCAUUUUUGUUUUCUUCAUACACUUCUUUUUAUUCUAGCUCUAAUGACAUGACAUGCAUAUGGAAUUUUCAGCCAAGUCUUAAAAGCCAAUAUAAUUCUAAAAUAAUAAUCCAAGAAGUAGAAAUCGAUGAAGAAUUAGAAUAUGAUGAAGAAGCAGCAUUUGAAGAGAUAAGUAAAGAGCUAAAACACUUCGAAGAGAAACCAAAGCUUAAUUUGAAUGAAACUGAAGCAAUCAAUUUAGGAAAUCAUGAUAAUGUCUGGGAAACCAAGAUAUGUGUGCAUCUGGAACCGCAAUUCAAGGAAGAAAUAAUCAUAACACUAUUGGAGUACAAAGAUGUCUUUGCAUGGUCGUAUGACGAUAUGCUAGGCUUGAGCAUUGAUUUGGUAGUUCAUAAAUUACCAACUGAUCCUGCAUUCCCCCCUGUCAAGCAAAAGUUAAGAAAGUUCAAGACUACCAUGAGUACAACAACAAUAACAACAACAUACCCAGUAAUAUCCCACACUGUGGGGUCUGGGGAGGGUAGUAUAUACGCAUACCUUACCCCUACCUUAUGAGGAUAGAGAGGCUAUUUCCAAUAGACCAUCGGCUCAGGAAAGCAUAAGCAUCAUAUUAAUCAAUACUGACAUGAGUGUGAAGAUUAAAGAAGAAAUCACAAAGCGACUUGGGGCAAAGGUCAUUCGGGUCACUGAAUAUCCCAUUUGGUUAGCUAAUGUUGUGCUAGUACCAAAGAAGGACGGUAAGACCAGGGUAUGUGUUGAUUAUCGUGAUCUUAACAAGGCAAGCCCAAAGGAUGAUUUUCCAUUGCCGAACAUCCACAUUCUGAUUGACAAAUGUGCUAAGCAUGAGAUCGGGUCUUUUAUGGAUUGCUACGCGGGAUAUAACCAGAUCCUGAUGGAUGAGGAAGAUGCAGAAAAGAUAGCAUUCAUCACUCCACGGGGAAUAUAUUGCAAUCGAGUAAUGCCAUUUGGUUUGAAGAAUGCUGGGGCAACUUACAUAAGGGCUAUGACUAUCAUAUUUCAUGACAUGAUACACAAGGAGAUUGAUGUUUAUGUAGAUGAUGUGAUCAUAAAGUCAAAGAAGCAGUCCGACAUUGUCAAGGAUUUGAGAAAGUUUUUCCAAAGGCUCUGCAGGUAUAACCUCAAGCUCAAUCUAGCGAAAUGUGCAUUUGGUGUCCCAUCUGGGAAACUAUUGGGAUUCGUGGUCAGUCAAUGCGGUAUUGAGUUGGAUCCAUUGAAGAUCAAAGCCAUCCAAGAGCUACCACUGCCCUAGAACAAAACAGAGGUGAUGAGCCUGCUCGGAAGGUUAAAUUACAUCAGUAGGUUUAUUGCUCAACUCACGACAACCUGUGAGCCCAUCUUUAAGUUGCUGAAGAAGAAUGUUGCGGCCCAGUAGACUGACGAGUGCCAGGAAACAUUCGAUAAGAUUAAGAGGUACCUGUUAAACCCAGCUGUGCUGGUCCCGCCGGAGCCUGGGAGACAUUUAAUCUUGUAUUUGACAGUCCUAAAUAAUUCUUUUAGUUGCGUACUGGGUUAACACGACAUCACAGGCAAGAAAGAGCAAGAAAUUUAUUAUCUCGGCAAGAAGUUCACUCCUUAUGAGGUUAAAUAUACCCUUCUUGAGAGAUAUGUUGCACCCUGAAUUAGGUGGCAUAAAAGUUGAAGCAUUAUCUUUCGUCAUACACUACUUACCUCAUUUCUCGUAUGGAUCCUCUAAAGUACAUCUUUCAGAAGCCCGUGCCCAUAGGAAGACUUGCAAAGUGGAAGAUUUUACUCACAGAGUUUGACAUUAUCUAUAUGACUCUGACCGCGAUGAAAGCCCAAGCUUUGGCCGAUCACUUGGCCGAGAAUCCGAUAGAUGAAGAGUAAGAGCCAUUGAGGACUUAUUUUCCUGAUGAAGAAGUGAUGUAUGUUGAUGAAGUUGAUCAUAACAAAAAUCUAGGUUGGAAACUCUUCUUUGAUGGAGCUGCUAAUAUGAAAAGUGUCAGAAUAGGAGCUGUACUUAUUUUUGAAACAGAGCAACACUACCCUGUAACAGCCUAGCUUCGAUUUUAUUAUACCAACAAUAUGGCUGAGUACGAAGUAUGUAUUUUGGGUUUGAGGUUAGCUGUAGAUAUGGGAGUCCAGGAAAUACUGGUUCUAGGAGAUUCAGAUUUGUUGGUUCACCAGAUUCAGGGAGAAUGGGAAACUCGGGACUUAAAGCUCAUACAGUAUCGACAGUGUCUACAUUAUCUUUUGUCAACGGUUCAGGUCAGUAGGAUUCAGACAUAUUCCGAGGAUUCAUAAUGAGAUUUUCGAUACCUUGGACACUCUGUCUUUAAUCUUACACCACCUGGAUAAGACUUACUUUGACCCUCUAUAUAUCCAAGGUUGUGAUCAGCAUGCCUAUUGUAAUGUGGCUGAAGAGGAACUUGAUGGUGAACCAUGUUUCAUGAUAUCAAGGAACACAUCAAGUCGGGGGUAUAUCCGGUACAUACCACAGGUGAUCAAAAGAUAACCAUUCGAUGUCUGGCUAGUGGAUUUUUCUUAAGUGGGGGAAUCUUGUACAAGAGGACUCCAGAUCUAGGACUAAUAAGGUGCAUAGAUGCUGAACAAGCCUUGACUAUCAUGGCCGAAGUGCAUUUCGGAUUUUGUGAGUCGCAUAUGAAUGGGUAUGUCUUGGCAAGGAAGAUAAUUCGAGCAGGUUAUUAUUGGCUCACCAUGGAAUAAGUUUGCAUCAACUUCGUUCGCAAAUGUUAUAAAUACCAGGUUCACGGUGAUUUGAUUCAUUCCCCGCCAUCUGAGUUGCACACAAUGUCUGCACCUUGGUCCUUUGUUGCUUAGGGUAUGGAUGUCACAGGAUUAAUUGAGCCAACAACAUCAAAUGGAUAUAGGUUUAAUCUAGUGGCCAUUGAUUACUUUACCAAGUGGGUCGAAGCUGUAACUUUCAAGUCUGUGACCAAGAAGGUAGUGGCAGAUUUUGCUCAUUCUUAAAUAUCAUUUGCCGGUUCGGAAUUCCUAAGGUAAUCAUCACAAACAAUGCUGUUAAUCUCAAUAGUCAUUUGAUGAAAGAGGUAUGCCAACAGUUCAAGAUUAUGCAUCGAAAUUCCACUUCGUAUCAUCCCAAGGCAAAUAGAGGUGUUGAGGUUGCUAACAAGAAUAUAAAGAAGAUACUUCAUAAGAUGGUGCAAGGUUCUAGGAAAUGGCAUGAAAAGUUGCCUUUUGCUUUACUAGGUUAUCGCACUACUAUUCGCACUUUAGUAGGUGCAACUCCUUAUUUUCUGGUAUAUGGAACUAAGGCAGUCAUACCUGUAGAAGUUGAGAUUACAUCCCUUCGGAUUGUUGCGAAAGCUGAAAUUGACGAUGAUUAAUGGGUCAAAAACCCAGCUAGAGAAACUGAGUUUGAUUGAUGAGCAAAGAUUGGGAGCAGUAUGUCAUGGUCAAUUGUAUAAUAAGAGAAUGGCAAGAGCAUACAACAAUAAGGUGCACCCCUGGAGAUUUGAAGUGGGCCAGCUAGUAUUGAAGUGCAUCCUUCCCCAUCAGGCCGAAACUAAAGGCAAGUUCGCCCCAAACUAGCAGGGACCAUUCAUUGUGAUAAGAGUGUUGCCCAAUGGUGCUUUGUAUUUAAUAAACAUAUAAGGCAAAUGUGUGGAUAUGGAUUUCAAUUCUGAUGCACUCAGAGAUAUUAUGUAUGAUUCCUUACUUAUCUUCAAUUGCAAUUUUUUAUUUGGCAUGUUCAAAGUUGGAAUGAUGAAGACAUUUUAUUCUGUUACCCAGUCAUUUUAUCCUUUAUUACCCUUUUUGAGCCUUAUUUACUUUCUUUCACACCCAUCUUUUGGAAUAGGAAAUAGAGUGAAAAAAUAGAAAGAAAAAAAAAGAAAAGAAAAAGAAGAAAAAAAGAAAAAGAAAAGAAUAAAAAGAAGAAGAAAAAGAGGCAACAAAAACAAAACAACUUUUAGUCUGGAACUACAUUCGGCCUGAUUCCUUUUAAGGAUACGUAGGCAGUCUUACUCUGAGGUUCGAUCCCAUCAACAUAAAUAUCCAAAAUUCCCCAGAUUCAAAGAAAAUGGGGAAGAAGUUUUAGUUUUGCAAAAGAUCUGAUUCCAAAUAUUGUAAUUUUGAACCCUUUCAUCUUAAAUUGUCUUGAGCCUUCAUGCUACCCUUUUUUCUAACCCUGUCCAAAAGCCUACACUAUGGUCUAAAGAAAUACCUUCUGAUCAAUCUUUGAGGAUGCAUAUGUCAAGAGAGAUAGAUGUAUGAUUUACAUCAUGAGUAACACUUUGUUCAUGGGCCCAAGGAAAAAUAAAUAAAAUGAGAGAGUCUUAUUGGUGAAAACCCUCACGAGCACCAUAAAUCAAUGGUGAGCUGAGAGAAAAUUAAAAUGAGAGUGUCUUAUUGGUGAAAACCCUCGCCGGCACCGUAAGAUGAUGGUGAGGUAAGAGAUGAACAAAUGAGAGGGGAUUGUUGGUGAAAAUCCUUCGGGGCACUACAAGUCGAAUGAGGUUUGUGACUUUACAGAGAAAUCAGAUCAAUGAAAGCCCGGUUUCUAAAGUAUGAAGACAUGAGAUGAACUGAAAAUGUGAUUGGUUGGACAGAUUAGGCUGAUCAAUCCAAAAUACAUGUCAUGAUCAUUGGAGCUAGCUGCUUUACCCAGAUAAGUCUCUUUUCCAUUAUUCUUCAAAUAGUCAUUAUUCGAAAUUUUCCUUUUUAUUCCUAACUCUCAAAGUCACUUCCUUUGUUUCUUUUGGGUUUGUUUUUCUCAGUCUCUUUCAAGUUAGUCUUUGUUAAAUAAGCAAGAAAGGAUUUCAAAGCCUACUGUCAGCCUUUUAAUUGCACAAAGCAAAGUUCAGCCAAGCACAUCACAAAUGACAUGAAUCAAAAUGAGCAAUAUGGUGAUAACUGAAAUUCAAGUGGUCUAGUUAUUCGUAAAUUUCGAAGAAAUGAAAAGGUUCAACAAUUGUCAGAAUGAAAAUGACAUACAACGAGUGAGUGUAAUUCAGGUCAUUUAGAGGUUUUUUGUGGUCGAGGUUCGAUUGGAAGGUCAAACAAUUCUUUGUUAGCCCGAAGCAGCUAAUUUGAAUGAAGCAUGAUAGUGGCAGAAGCAGACACCUUCGACAAGGAUGCCAGAACUAACCACCACAUUUUCAAACUGACGAGAUUUUCUUUGUUUGAAACAGGGGCAAGAAAUUUUGCUUUCUCUGUAGGACCCUCCUGGAAAUAGGAUUUAAUUUCAAAUUUUCAGGACCCUCUUGGAUAAUGGGAUUUAGUUUUAUAUUUUCAGCACCUCCCCAGAUAAUGAAAUUUAAUUUUAAAUUUUCAGGACCUUCCUGGAUAAUGGGACUUGAUUUUAAAUUCUCAUGACCCUCCUAGAUAAUGGGAUUCAACUAACACUCACAAAUGUUCUUGUCACAAACUGGGGCAGAGAAUUUUCUUUGUUUAGUUGUAAUUGCAGGCACCCACCUGGAGAACGAGGGAGUUCAUUUCAGAAUUAUUUCAAGUUUCAAGUCAGUAGCAGGGCCCCACCUAGAGAACGAGGGAAUUUAUUUCAAGUUCUAAGUCAGUAUUAGGCGCCACCUGGAGAAUGAAGAAAUUCAUUUCAAGUUCAAGUAUAUAGAAGGCAUCCACUUGGAGAAUGAGGGAAUUCAUUUUAAGUUCAAUUCAAUAGCAGACGUCCACCUGAAAAAUAAGGGAAUUCAUUUCAAGUUCAAGGCAAUAGCAGGCACCCACCUAGAGAAUGAGGGAAUCCAUUUCAAGUUCGAGGCAAUAGCAGGCACCCACCUAUAGAAUAAGGGAAUCCAUUUCAAGUUCAAGUAAAUAGCAGGCACCCACCUGGAGAAUGAUAGAAUUCAUUUCAAGUUCAAGUCAAUAGCAGGCACCUACCUGGAGAAUGAGUGAAUUCAUUUCAAGUUCAAGUCCACAGUAGGCGCCAACCUGGAGAACGAGGGAAGUCAUUUAAGAAUUAAUUUCAAAUUUCAAUUCAGUAGCAGGCACCCACCUGGAGAAUGAGGGAAUUCAUUUUAGAGUUAUUUCAUAUUUCAAGUCAGUAGCAGGCGCUCGCCUGGAGAACAAGUGAAUUCAUUUUAGAUUUAAUUUCAAGUUCAAGAUAGUAGCAGGAGCCCGCCUGAAGAAUAGGAUCAAUUCAAGUUAGAAGUAGUAGAAGCUCGCCGCAAGAAUGCGAGUCAACAGUUCGAGAUGCACAACAAGACUGUAAAAGUUUCAAGACAGAACAAUAGACAUGAUUUUGCAGUUUUUUUGUAAUUUUUAUUUUAUUUGAUUUUUUAUUUUUUUAUGUAAUGACAGGAACCGCGGACAGGAACCUCGACGGCACUUCACUCGGCUCUCCACCUCGGUAUACUCUUCACUUUUCCCACUUCUUGAACUACACGUGGCUGAUUCUUUUACAGCCAAGGAUAUGUAGGCAACUCAGAUACCAGGGCUCGACCACAUUCAUUAUGUUUAUCUAUAUUUUCUUUUGGAUAAGUCUCGGGUCAGAAGUCAAUUACGUCUCUUACUUAAUUCUUUGCUAAAAAACUCUUCGAGUUUUCAAGCAAAGAGAGGUAGUUGUAAGCACGUAACUUUUGACCCGUCAAUUGUUCAAGUUAUUCCAACAUUUUAUACAUACCUAUUUGAGUAUAUAUUAAUCUUUUUUUUUAGGAUUUUAAUAUGUAUAAAUACUUUUAUUUUUAAUUUUAUUUUUUUGUUUUGAGUAUUCAAAAAAAACCAAAAAAAAAAAGAAAGAAAAAAAAUGCAAAAAUAGUUUCAAGUCAAUUUUAAUUUAAGAUUAAUUAGUAUUUUAUGUAGUAAUACUAUUUUCGCCUAUUUUUAUCUAUUUUUAUUUAGUAUAAUCAUUUGAAAAUACAAAAAUAGUUGUUUUUUAAUUAAUUAGCGUGUUUAAUUAAAUAUAGUAUUUAGUAAAAGAGAAUUAAUUAAUAUUUCAUAUUAUUUUGUUCUUAUUGAUGAAGAACAAUUAAAAUUGGGCCAAAAAUAAUUUUUUAGUAGUCUAAUUUAGGAGUUGAGCCCAAAAUAACCAACCCAAUCCACCACCCAUUCUUCUCCUAGCCUAAUGUUCUUAACCCUUGCCGACCUGCAACCCGCGCCCCAAUUUUCUGACGCGCUCAACACCCCUUAAAUCCCAACCAUUUAUCCCAUCUAAUCCAACAACCCUUAUUCAUUCCUCCAACACAUAAAAACCUAACCUAACAUUUACCCUAACCCUAAAGAAACUCAUCUCAGUUGUCUCACCCCUUCACCCAUUCUCUGUCGCCGCAAUAACAACCAAACCCACUAGAAAUUUUUCCCCAAAAUCACAUGGUUCGCUCUCUCUUCUCUCCCCUUACCACGUCACCUGACCCCUAACAAUUUCUAACAAAGAAUAUUCCCUUCCCCCUUAUUUCAUGCAUUUUUUAUUCUCUUGGAUGGAAUUCGGAUCAAUGGUGGAUGUACGAUUUGAGUACUUUAAAUUCUAGUCCUCCAUUUCUCUUAAUUCAGAAAAAGGAGAACAAAAACGAUUUUUGGAUUUUGGAAGUCUUCGAUUUUUUUUGGAAUUUUUUUUUUUCGGAUUUCUUGUGAAGGAAGCAUAGAAGCUUCAAGAGAGGUUAUAAAAGGGGGUUUUCAGAGAGAAAAAUGGGAAGAAAAGUUUUGGAAAAAGCUAGGGUUUUGGUCUUCUCAUUUUCCUUCUUCUAAUUUUUGUUUUUCAGAUUCAUAUAUAACCCAAAAAAAUAUUGUAACGACCUGACCGGUUGUUUUGAGAAUUUACACUUUGCUCGGUUUCUUGAGGGCCUGAGUAUCUCCGUAUAAUGUAUUAUGACUUAUGUAAAUCGUCGUUUUUGAUUUUCAGGUUAUUCGAAUUGAUUUGAAAGAAUGAUUCUUAGCUUGAAGCUUUAAAUUUGAAAAGUGUGACCAAGUUUGGCUUUUUAGUAUUUGACCUCAGAUUGGAUUUCUGAUGCUUUAGUUAUCUCCAUUGGGUGAUUUUGGAUUUAGGAGCGUGUUCAGAUCAUGAUUUGGAGGUCCGUAGUGGAAUUUGGCUUGAAAUGGCGAAAGUUGGAAUUUUGGAAAGUUUGACCGGAGUGAACAUUUUGAUAUCGGGGUCGGAUUCCGAUUCUGAAAGUUAGAGAAGGCCCAUAAUGUCAAAUGUAACUUGUGUGCUAACUUUGAGGUCCAUCGGGCGUGAUUUGAUAGGUUUCGGCAUCAGUUGUGGAAGUUAAAAUUUCAAAGUUCAAUGAUUUUGAAUUGAGGUGUGAUUCGUCAUUUCGAUGUUGUUAUGUGUGUUUUGAGGCCUUGAGUAGGUCUGUGUAACGUUAUGUGACUUGUUGGUAUUUUUGGCCGAGGUUUCAAGGGGCUCGGACGUGUUUCGGAUCGAUUUCGAAUCAUUUUCUUCAAUGCUGCUAUUGCUGGUUCUGGUGUGACGGCACCUGCGGUUGGUAUGCACAGGUGCGGUAGUCAUAGAAGUGAAGAAAUGGUCGCAGGAGAGAAAAUAGUUUUGGGUGAGGAAGACCGCAGAAGCGGAGAUUUGGGAGCAUAUGCAGAUACGUAGGUGCGAAGUGAUGGAGCGCAGGAGCGAGGUUUUUCACAGAUGCGGAUAGUAGCUCGCACAUGCGAUGUCGUAGAAGCGGAUAUGUUGUCCGCAGGUGCGAGGGUCAAGUCCUUAGUUGAUUUCGAAGAAGCGGGGGUUAUGUCGCAGAAGCGAUGCUGCAGAAGUAGCUAAUGUGUCCGCAGAUGCGGAAGUGCUGGUCAGAAUGUUAAAUACAAGGGUUCGCGAUCUUGGCUUUAUUUUUACAUUUCCAAGUGCGGAUUAGGGCGAUUUUGGAGCAAUUUUCAUCACAAAAAUUGGGGUAAGUGUUCUACACUCGAUUUUGGUUAUAUUUCAUGAAUCUAUCUUCGAUUUUAACUUUUGAUUGAUGAAUUGAAAGAGGAAAAUUGGGGGUUUUGGCCUAAAAUUUCAUAAUAUGAAUUUUUGAAUUUUGAACACCAAUUUGGAGUCGGCUUUAAGUAAACUAGUAUGGUUGAACUCAUAAUUGAAUGGCUUGUCGAAUUUUGUGAGUUUUAUUGAGUUUCGAGGUGUGGGCCCGGGUGUGAUUUUUUGCCAGAUUUGGGAUUUGACUUAGGACUCGAUCUGUAUUAUUUGUAAUUUCUUCCUUGGGCUUUAUCUGAUGUAUUUGAGUUGCUUUUGUCUAGUGUUGAGCCGUUCAUAGGUCGCUACGGGCGUGAUGACAUUCUUGGAGCAUUGCUUGGCUUGCUCGGUGUCGGAAUUGGCUUGUUUAAGAUAAGUUACUAUUCUAAACUUAGAGCUGAGGGUAUGAAACCCCGAAUUAUAUGUUAUGUGAUUGGUGUUGAGGUGAUUCACAUGCUAGGUGACGGGCGUGUGGGCGUGUGCCCUGCGAGUUGUGACUCUAUUAUUUCCGGGCAACUGUUUGGUGGCCCACUUUGUUGAUAAUUAUGUUUUUCACCAUGUGAUAAAGUAAUUGAGUUGUACAUCAUGCUAGAUAUCAUGUUUAGGCUUUAUAUUGAUAUUGUUGGGGCCCCUAGAGGUCGUUUCUUGUUGUCAUCUCAUUGAUUUCAUUGAUAUUUCGUACUCAGUCACAUUCAUGCAUUCAUAUCGUAUCUCAAUCUCAGUUGUUACUUAUUGAUACAUCAUAUCAUUAUUUUGGAUCAGUUUUCAUGACAUUUUGAGCCCGUGGGUGAUACUGUAGAGAUUGAUGAUUAAGUGAGGCCGAGAGCCUGAUUAUGAGUGAUAGUUAUGGGAUCGGUCUGCACGCCGCAGCAUGUUUUAUUGAUUUAUGCCAUGAUUGAUUAUAGCGCUUAGGUUGAAGGAGCCCCUCCGGAGUCUACACACCCUCAGUGAGCACGGAUGAUAUUAUUGAGGGAUGGAUUUCCCUGGACAUGGAUUUGUCCGAAGUAUUUGAUAUCUGAAGAUGGAUUUCUCCACAAGGUUGGAUUGCCCUUUUCCUUGGUACUAGGUGACUUUUAUACAGUGUUUUAUAUGUUCCGUGAUGGAUUCACCUAGGCCUUAUGGGCCAUAUACAGUACCGAGUUGUUGAGUAUGAUGAGUGAAAAGUGUGAUACAGUGAGGUUGAGUACUCUGAGAGUGUGAGUACAUGGUUCAUCUCUGAGAUACAUGGCAUUGGCAUGCAUAUAUGGCAUACAUGCAUAGAGACGUAUUUCCUCAUGCUGUACGGUAUCACAUCAUUCAUGACUUUUUCCCACACAUUGAUAUGUGGGCAUAGAGUGGUAUUUCACACGUGUUAUUUGGAAAGGAAAUGAAAUAUUUUUAUUUAUUGUGGAAAGGAUUUUUAGGAAAAACUACAGUUUUCAAACUAUCUCAAAAUCUUUCGAUGAUUUCGAUAAAGGAUUUGGGUUUUCACUGAUAUCCUUGAUAAGUGGAACUAUUUUCGAAAAACUAUGUAAAAGCUGAACAUUUUUAUCUAUGAGAUUAUUUCCUUGUUUAUAUUCUCUAUGUUGUAUGAACUGUUGUUGGUCAUUGGUAUUGGAACCGACCUAUAUUCCAGCUCGUCACUACUUUCAACCUGAGGUUAGGUUUGUUACUUUUUGAGUACAUGGGGUUGGUUGUACUCAUACUACACUUCCCACACAUUGCGUGCAGAUCCCGGAUGUCGAUGUUGCUAUGUUCGAUGGUUGUUGGAUCUGAAGGCGUACCUGCAUUCCUACUGUAGCUGCCUCUUAUUCACGGUAGCCUUUGAUUUUAAAACUUUGUUUAUGUACUUUUCAAGCAGAAGAUGCAUUCUUUUUAUAUCAGCUUUGUAAACUCUAUUCUUAGAAGCUCAUUAUUUGUACCACUAGUCCUUAGGAAAUGUAAUAGAUCCAGAUAAUUUAUUUUGCUUAAUUAACUUAUUAGCAAUAUUGAAAUUGGAUAGUUAUUAGUUCGCUUACCUAGCGGGUUGGGCUAGGUGCCAUCAUGACUUGUGGAUUUUGGGUCGUGACAGAUUGGUAUCAGAGCUCUAGGUUCAUAGGUUCUACAAAUCAUGAGCAAGUGUCUAGUAGAUUCUUGCGGAUUGGUAUGAUGACGUCCAUACCUAUCUUCGAGAGGCUAUAGGACAAUUAGGAUAUACUUCCCAUCUUUCUUUUCUUAUUGUGCAACAUUGAUUCAGCUUGAAGCGUAACUCUUUGAAUUCCUCACAUAUCUGUAUGCACACAUGAGCACUCUGUAUCAGCUGUGCAUCGACGGCUCAUGAUUCUAUAGAUGAGAUGCAAGAUGUGGUUUCUGUGUGAUGGUGAUGGGCCAGCUGGAGGACUUGAGGCCUAAUUUUGACUGUAGCUUGAGCACUGAGAUGUUGAUUGUUUAAGCACGUAUUUUUGGAAUUAUAUGUCAUGUAGUGUCCCUAUUAGUGGAAUUUGUGGCUGGAUGGCUACGUGAUGAGUAUGAUGAGACUGUGAGAUGUGUUCGUGUGAUUUGAAUGUGACGAGAAUGGUUUACUUGUAAUGUAAAGAGGACUAUUUGGUGCUUGGUUUCCAUAUUGAUUUGACGUAUAGUCUCGAGUUAUGUGUGUGUUGAAUGAUCUUUUUAUGUUGCUUAGUUGAGGAGUGAAGUAGAUUUUUAUGUCGUGAUAUGAAUUCAGACUCAGGAAGAUUAAGUGAUUGCAUAAUGGUUAUGACUAUGGAAGGGUAUAAGGAGAUGUUAGUUUGAGGCGAAGCAGGUGGGUUAUCUCCUAUAGGGUGUCUUGAGGGUUGUGUUAUCCCUAUGUUCUAUUAUAGCAAAUUCUCUUUUACCAGUGAGUUAUAUGUGUUGCAAUUGGAGUUUGGAUCGCUUAUGAGGGUGGGCUUGACUGUUAUAGGGGUAAAUGCAAGAUUUUCAUAUGAUUUGAGAUAUUAGGUGGUUUGUGUUGCAUGAGCUUAUGGAGGAUGUAGUUGAAUCUCAUUGUGGUAUUAUGGCAGUAAUAGAGCAUGGGCAUUGUGAGCUAUUAUGUGUUUUGUAUGGCUUUGAGUCAAGUGUGGGAGUCUGUUAUUGAUAAAUUGAUUGCACGGUUAUGUGUUGUAUUGAUUUCAGUUAAGGUAUACCGGUGAAUCAGUUAUGACUUACAGAGAUUGAGAUCGAGGAUGACUCGAAUAAGGGAGUUUUUGGAUAAGGGGUGUGUUAUGCUUUAUGGGUAUAUGAGAAACAUUACAUGAUUGAGUUGCUCUGAUGGUAAGCAACCCCCACUUCCAACCGAGAGGUUGUGAGUUCGAGUCUCCCCAAGAGCAAGGUGGGAAGUUCUUGGAGGGAAGGAUGUCGUGGGUCUAUUUGGAAACAGUCUCUCUACCCUAGGGUAGGGGUAAGGUCUGCGUACACACUACCCUCCCCAGACCCCACUAAGUGGGAUUAUACUGGGUUGUUGUUGUUGUUGUUGUAUUACAUGAUUGAGUUGUUACUUGUAAAGGAUAUGGUGUGCAUAGAGUAGGGAUCCACUCGGUUGCUUAGAAGUAUGGAUUACUUCUUAGGUUGUUGGUCUGCAAAUGGGCCACAGGUCGUUCGGUUCGUUUGACCAAUUUAAUUGAGAUUGGAGCAAAGCAAAUGACACUCGGGAAUGAUUAUAAUGGAUUCAAGAUUUAUAUGUAAUAAUUGGGGAUCUUCAAGAUGUGCAUUUGGCUAGAAACUGAGAUUUACAUCGGAUGAUAUCAAGACUUAUGGAAUUUUUAUAUCAUUAUAGAUUCUACAUAUCAGUAUCAAGAAGGCGAAGGUAAUGGCUUUAGAUUCACAGAAGGUAUCUCUAUUGUGGUGCUUAAGAGAGUAUUCAGCGGCUUAUAAGCUUUAGGGCAGUGUGAUUCUAUGCUAAAGUUCGUGGGGCAAGUUUUGGUUAAGGAUAGUAGUGUACCAGCAAGGAAAGGUAUCAAUUUGAAGGCAAUUCGGAAGGAACUCAAAAAAAUUAGGACAUCUUCGUAACGGGUUGGAUCAGUAUGGUAACGGAUAUGAUUGGCUCUUUCGAUGAUGUAAUGAGUUUCUACAGGUGUUGUGCGGCGAUACUCUUCAUUUUUGACGACCUGUGUGGCUUGGUUGAGCUAGAAAGGUUUAGUUCUUUCGAAUUGGUUUUGUGCAAAUGGGAUUCAGAGAGUUCUUGAUGGUUUUUACCACGGUUAGAGAUGUAUAUUUCCUACUGAUGUGAAGAACAUAUGAUGAAUAGUGAUUUUCUCCUGGAUGAAAUCAAAUGGAAGGUCAUUGGCUAAUUGAGUAUGUAGUUGCUUGUGACUCGGAGUGGACUAUGAAGUUCUCGUAUUUUUUAUAUGAUGGCAUAGUAUAUGUGGUGUGUUGUGUGGGAGGAAGAUUUUCAUGAGCAAGGUCAUAGUUCAGUUUUGGAGGGGAGGUCAUAAGUCCUUAGGCAACAUGAACAGUUUUAGAUGACUAGGUAAAUGAUAUUACUAUCUGGUAUGGCUUGACGAGAGUAUACAUUUCAGAAGGGGCAAUGUGUUUUGAUUUAUGGAUACUUCAUUGGUAUUGCAUCACUCUCCUGGUUGAUCGACUGCUGAUGUUCGUAUUCUACUUUAUGGAACAAAAGAGUUAUAGAAGUAUUCCUCGUGGGAUGAUCAUGUAUUGACGAUGUGUUAGACAUUCAGGUGGUGGAGUUGAGAUCAUAUAUGGUGAUUCGUGUGUUCUAUUGACUUGGAGAGUAGGAGUUCUCAUGAGUGGAUUGUUUCAUAGUUGUGGAUUGUGGAAAAGUAACCAAGGUUAGUCAGAGGAUAGUAUAUGUUGUGAUUAUUAAUUCAUUGUGGACUUUGGAGGGUUAAUUAUCUAUUAGUGGAUGACUAGAGUUGAUUUGGGGGUCCAUUGGUUGGCUUCAUACUGCUAUUGUUGAGGGAUGUGUCAUUCAGUUAUUGUUGAGCUUAUUCGUGUUCCAAAAAGAUCUAUGAGUUACUCUUCUAAGUUAUGAGGAGUUGUGAAUAGUUGGUUAUAUGCACAUAUGGUGCGGUUCUAUUUGAGCCUUAUACUGGGAUUUGAGUGGGAUGAGUAUUUGGGUAUUGUAUGAUUAAUUGCGCGCUGGCUAUGUUCUUUCCAGAUUGUGGUAUUGUGUUAUUUGCUCUCCAUGGUUAUGGUAAUGUACAUUGGGUACUUGAUGUCAAAUUUUGAGUGGUUAUGGAUUUUGAGCAUGGUGGCUCGAGGUAUAUAAUACGGACCAGCGUUUAGAUGGGGUCACGCAUUGUAGCGGAGUUAUGUAGAUGUAUGAUCCUUUGUGUUAGAUUUGUGAGUUUCGGUUAUGCGGUGUGUGAUGGGUUCUUAGCAUUGCGUCGUGGUUAUACAUGUUGAGCUUGCGGGACGGUUCUCUUGUCUGAUGUCAUUUUCCAUGUUUGAGUACAUUUGGAAUGUUGCUUAUUAGUGCACGGAUUGCACCGGUUGUGGCUUUAGAUUGCAUUGAUGUAUCAUGUCACUAGAGUGGUCGUGUUGGAUGAGAUGAGGUCAUCAUACCUAAAAUGGGUGCUAUCGGGUCUGAUUGCUGUAUAUUUGGAAGGAUAUUGAUGUUGGUCGGUUAAAAAUUUUGCUACAGUUCCUAUCGAAUGAGAGGGAGUUUCACAACUUGUUGAUCUGAUGAAUGGUUAUGAGUUUAUACGUGUUUCUUUCAUCGUUGGCAGUAUAUGAAGGUGUUAGAACGAGGCUCUAUUUGAUAAGAGGUUUAUUACCGGUAUUAGGUUAUUUUGAGCAGCUACUAUGAUUAGAAGUUAUCGCUAUGAGUGUUUGAGUUAUGUGGUAUAUCAUGUGAUUACAUUUUGGGUUACGAAUAUGGCUUGAUACAGCUUGUUCAGACUUAUAUAGUGUGUAGAUGCGAGAUUCUGAUCUUAUAGAAAAUUUCGGAUGUGGAAAUUGGAUUCUAAGGCUUGUAGGCUAGGUUGGAUUAAGAAAUUUUAGCCAUGUUCUGUUAUCAGAUCUAUAUGAGAUAGGGUGACAUGGGAUUAACCCCGGGUAUGUGCAUAGUAAGGCUACACAGCAAUUUGAUGGAAAGUCUUGGCCUGUUCGAGGACGAACGUAUGUUUAAGUGGGGGAGGAUGUUAUGACCCGACCGAUCGUUUUGAGCAUUUGCACUUUGCUCGGUUGCUUGAGAGCGUGAGUAGCUCUGUAUGAUGUAUUAUGACUUAUGUGAAUCAUCAAUUUUGGUUUUCAGAUUAUUCGAAAUUGAUUUGAAAGAAUGAUUCUCAACUUGAAGCUUCAAAUUUGAAAAGUAUGACCAAGUUUGACUUAUUAGUAUUUGACCUCGGAUUGGAUUUCUGAUGGUUCCUUUAGCUCUGUUGGGUGAUUUUCGAUUUGGGAGUGCGUUCGGAUCAUGAUUUGGACGUCCGUAGUGGAAUUUGGCUUGAAAUGGCGAAAGUUGAAAUUUUGGAAAGUUUGACCGGGAGUGGACCUUUUGAUAGCAGGGUCUGAUUCUAAUUCCGGAAGUUAGAGCAGGUCCAUAAUGGCAAAUGUGACUUGUGUGCAAAAUUUGAGGUCCAUCGGACGUGAUUUGAUAGGUUUCGGCAUCGGUUGUGGAAGUUGAAGUUUCAAAGUUCAAUAAUUUCGAAUUGAGGUGUGAUUCAUCGUUUUGAUGUUGUUAUGUGUGUUUUGAGGACUCGAGUAGGUCCGUGUGAUGUUAUGUGACUUGUUGGUAUAUUUGGAUGAGCUCUCAAGGGUCUCGGGCAUGUUUCAGAUCGAUUUCGGAUCAUUUUCUUCAAUGUUGAUAUUGAUGGUUCUAGUGUGACCGCACCUGCGGUUGGAAUGCGCAGGUGCAGUGGUCGUAGAAGCGAAGAAGUGGUCGCAGGAGAGAAAAUAGUGCUAGUUGAGGAAGAACACAGAAGCGGAGAUUUGGGCGCAUAUGCGGAUGCGUAGGUGCGAAGUGAUGGAGCGCAGGAGCGAGGUUUUUCGCAGGUGCAGAUGGUGGCUCGCACCUACAAUGUCGCAGAAGCGGAUAUGUUAUCCGCAUGUGCGAGGAUCGAGUCCUCAGUUUAUUCCGUGGAAGCAGGGGCUAUGUCGUAGAAGUGACGCCGCAGAAGCGGCUAAUGUGUCUGUAGAUGCGGAAGUGCUGGUCAGAAUGUUAAAUACAAGGGUUCGCGAUCUUGGCUUCAUUUUUACAUUUCCAAGUGCGGGAUUAGGGCGAUUUUGGAGCAAUUUUCAUCACAAGGAUUGGAGUAAGUAUUCUACACUUGGUCUUGGUUAUAUUUCAUAAAUCUAUCUUCGAUUUUAGCUUUUGGUUGAUGAAUUGAAAUAGGAAAAUUAGGGGUUUUGGCCUAAAGUUUUAUAAUAUGAAUUUUUGAGUUUUGAACACCAAUUUGGAGUCCGAUUUAAGUGAAACUAGUAUGGUUGGACUCGAAAUUGAAUGGGUUGUCGGAUUUUGUGAAUUUUGUUGAGUUUCGAUGUGUGGGCCCGGGUGUGAUUUUUGGCCGAAUUUGUGAUUUGACUUAAAACUCGAUCUAUAUCAUUUGUAAUUUCUUCCUUGAGCUUUAUCUGAUGUAUUUGAGUUGCUUUUGGCUAGUGUUAAGCCGUUCGCAGGUCGCUACGCACGUGAUGGCAUUCUUGGAACAUCGCUUGGCUUGCUCGGUGUCGGAAUUGGCUUGUUUAAGAUAUGUAACUCUUCUAAACUUAGAGCUGAGGGUAUGAAACCCCAAAUUAUGUGUUAUGUGAUUGGUGUUGAGGUGACGCACAUGCUAGGUGACGGGCGUGUGGGCGUGCGCCCUGCGAGUUGUGACUCUAUUGUUUCCAGGGUACUGUUUAAUGGUCUACUUUGUUGAUAAUUAUGUUUUCACCAUGUGAUAAAGUAAUUGAGGUAGACAUCAUGUUAUAUAUCAUGUUUAGACUUUAUACUGAUAUUGUUAGGACCCCUAGAGGUCGUUUUUUGUUGUCAUCUCAUUGAUUUUAUUAAUAUUUUGUACUUAGUCGCACUUAUGCAUUCAUAUCGUAUCUCAAUCUCAGUUGUUACUUAUUAAUACAUCAUAUCAUUAUUCCGGGUCAGUUUUUAUGAUGUUGUGAGUAAUGGGUGAGACUUGAGAGAUUGAUAACUGAGUGAGGCCGAGAGCCUGAUUAUAAGUGACAGUUAUAGGAUCGGGUUGCACGUCGGAGCAUGUUUUAUUGAUUUAUGCCAUGAUUGGCUUGUUAUAGCGCUUUGGCUGAAGGAGCCUCUCCGGAGUCUACACACUCCCAGUGAGCGCGGAUGAUAUUAUUGAGGGAUGAAUUUCCCUGGACAUGGAUUUCUCCGAAGGAUUUGAUAUCUGGUGAGGUUGGAUUUCCCUUUUUCCUCGGUACUGAGUGACUUCUAGUCAGUGUUGUAUAUGUUCCGAGAUGGAUUCUCAUGGGCCGUAUGGGCUAUAUACAGUAUCGAGUAGUUGAGUAUGAUGAGUGAAAAGUGUGAUACAGUAAGGCUGAGUACUUUAAGAGUGUGAGUACAUGAUUCACUUCUGAGAUACAUGGCAUUGACAUGCAUAUAUGGCAUACAUGCAUAGAGAUGCAUUUCCUCAUGUUGUAUGGUAUCACAUCAUUCAUGACUUUUUUCUCACACAUUGAUAUGUGGUCAUGGGGUAGUAUUUCACAUGUGUUAUUUGGAAAGGAAAUGAAAUAUUUUUAUUUAUUGUGGAAAGGAUUUUCAGGGAAAAUUAUAGUUUUCAAGCUAUCUCAAAAUCUUUAGAUGAUUUCGAUAAAGGAUUUGGGUUUUCAUUGAUAUCCUUGAUAAGCGGAACUAUUUUCGAAAAACUAUGUAAAAGCUGAACAUUUUUAUCUCUGAGAUUAUUUCCUUGUUUAUAUUCUCUACAUUGUAUGAACUGUUGUUGGUCAUUGGUGAUGGACCCUUCCUAUGUUCUAGAUCGUUACUACUUCUAAGCUGAGGUUAGGUUUGUUACUUAUUGAGUACAUGAGGUCGGUUGUAUUCAUACUAUACUUCCUGCACAUCGCGUGCAGAUCCCAGAUGCCGAUGUUGCUGGAUCUGAAGGCGUACCUGUGUUCCUACUGUAGCUGCCUUUUGUUCAUGGUAGCCUUAGAUUUUAAAACUUUGUUUAUGUACUUUUCAAACAGAAGAUGUAUUCUUUUUAUGUCAGCUUUGUAAACUCUAUUAUUAGAAGCUUAUGAUUUGUACUACAAGUCCUUGGGAAAUGUAAUAGAUACAGAGAAUUUAUUUUGUUUAAUUGUCUUAUUAGAAAUAUUAAAAUUGCAUAGUUAUUAGUUGGCUUACCUAGCGGGUUGGAUUAGGUGCCAUCAUGACUAGUGAAUUAUAUAUAUAUAUAUAUNNNNNNNNNNNNNNNNNNNNNNNNNUGUUAUUUAUUAUCCCUUUGUGUGUUUCCUACCUCAGCCGGAAUAUUCUUCAAAGCUAACUAGAUCAAGUGAGCAACUGUACUAGUUACGGGACUCCGGGAAUGCCUAACAGCUUCUCCCCGAGUCAAAUGAACUCCCUUACCUAAAAUCACUGGUGCAGUCAGUUUUAGAGCCGAACAUGUUUUGAAAAGAAAAUUGCUUUUAAAUGGUGACUUGACACACCGAGAUUAUAUGCCAAGUGGCAACUCUAAAUAAUUUUUUUCUUUAAAACACAAAUUUGUCACUUUUCAACCUUGAAAAACCCUUUUGAGCUUCAAAUUUUUUUAUUAUUUUUAAGAGGGUAAAUGAGGUUAAAAAAAUGGGGUGUGACACCACUAACAACUUGUUUGGAUGGUUGUUACCCAUUAUAUUGUAUUUUUAAUUAUUAUUUUGAAUACAAUAUUUGUUUUGAUUGUUAUUAAUUUUAUUGCAUCGUAUCGUUAAAUGCGUCGUUACGUAACAAUGAAAAGUGUCCCUUUAUGUAACAACGGAUUUGGUAUGGUGGCGUUGUUACCUUACUUUUUUCUCUCAUCUUGCCCUUCCUUAUUAUCAAAUAAUCAUAUUUUAUCCUUUACUUUACUAUUUUAUAUAAUAAUUAUACUAUGUAUCUUAUUUUUUUUCUCAGUAAUAUUACAAGUUUAUUUUUCAUAUUGUUGGUGCAUGAUAUCAUGAAACGAUGGUAAACAAUACAACCUAUCCAAAUAUUAUAUUCGUCAUAUAAUAUAAUACAAUACAAUAUAAUACGAUACGAUACAUUAUGAAAUGACAUUUAACAACAAUCCAAAUAAGUUGUAAAGCUUGUAACAUAGAUUACAUAGUGGUAAGUAUUUUAUUAUUUUUUAGAGAUCUUGGAUUCUGUCCUAAAAAUAAAAUAAAAAAUUGAUUAAAAAACCAUUAAUUGACCCUUCCCCCUCCCUUAUAUUGAAUUUCUUAACAUGAAUUUAAAUUAAUCGAACUCUAAAAUAAAUUCUAGACAUCAUAUAAGAAAAAAAAAUAAUCACCCAUAGCUUCUUGCAUUAUGAAUAUAAAACUUAAAUUCAUUAUAAAAAGCUCUUCCUAUCAGACAUAUGCAUAUAGCUCAGUUAUUGCAAAUAAAAAAGGGAGAAAAUAGGAAAACUUACACAAAUAUCCCAAAUAAAUCCCAACUUACCAACCUCUAGCCAUUAGCCAUAAACUUAUCAAAACUAGCCAACAAAAAUUAAAAAAACAAAUAAUAGGGUUCUUUCUAUCAAAGAAUCACAUGCAAAAAUCACCUUUCAUAUUUUAAAGCAUGAUUAGCAACAUUACAUACAAGAGGGAAAGGAAAUUUCAUGAGCGGGAUAGCAAAUAAGGUGAUGAAAUACAAAAAUCUAUACAAUAUUUCAAAAAUCUAAACAAAAAAAGAACUUUUUCAAUAGGUAUAGUUAAAAUUCAUUGAAAAUAUAUAGAUAAGUCAAUAUACAAAAUUUGAGGAAGAUUGGAGGUGAUUUGGACUGGUUUGUAUCAAAAUUCGUAAUUAAAUCGAGUUCAAAAAAGUCUUUUGCGACACAUGUAUCAAACAUGUAUCAAGCAUGUAUCUCACACACAAAUAUAUAUAGAUAUACAUGUGAUACACAAUUGAUACAAAUAUGAUACAUAUGUGAUACACAAAUGAUACACAGUGUGAUACACAUAUUAUUUUUUUUCAUGUUCAGCUUUUACUUCAAAUUUUUAAUUCAAACCACCUCAAAACUUCACCAAAUCAUCCCAAAACUGAGAUUUAAACUCCUUAAGUUGUGCUCAAUCUAUUCUAAUAACACUCACUCAAAACAAAGCAAAAAUUUGAUAUUUUUUUGCUACAAAUAGCUAAUUGCUAAUUUGGCUAAUAUUAGUAAUAUUUUAUCAAUUGGUCAAUUUUUGUAAUGAAUUACUUAUAAAUGAACAUAGCUGGUAAUUUUUCAAAAUAAUAUUAUAUGGUCUCUCUCAAAAUAAUAACUGAAAAAAUAUAUAAUUUGUAUAUUAUAUAUAUAUAUAUAUUAUACACUUUUUAUCGCGGGCUAAAAGUGAUAAUAUCUCGUAACACAUUACUUUAUUUACAAGCAAAUUAAAAAGCUUCCUCUUACAUCUCUAAUGUACUUUUAACUACUUUAGUACUACGAAUGCAGUAUGACAAUAACACACAACCACCACCGUAAAUCAUUGCAAAUCUAACACAAAAUACAAAAAUAUUACUGUUUCCAAAAUUCUUAUCUGACUCUUCUACUAAACCUAAAUAUCAUAAACACAAAUAACAAUUUCACGAAUAUUAUUAAGAUUCAAACUCAAAUAUAUUACCGAUUAAAUUGUUUUCUUUUGACCACUGAACAUAUCGAAAAUUUAACAUACACCAUGUAUCAUUGUAGUACCAUUUUUGCAAAAAGAAAAAUCAAAUAUUAAAUCAGUAAAUGCAUCAUAUAUGCUUUUGCAUAGACAAUUAUCACUUUAGUAUAGUUAAUUAACCUGCAAUGCCAUCUAAAUUUUAUCAUUAACUAUAAAAGGAUAGUUCGGUGCACUAAAUUUCUGCUAUGCGCGAGGUUCCGGGGAGGGGAGAGGCUGGACCAUAAGAGUUUAUUGUAUGCAGUUUUACCUUGCAAUUCUGCAAGAGACUGUUUUCACGGUUUAUAAUUAACAAUAUUAAAUUUUUUAGCACAUUGUACUAGACCUUUACACAAAUAGCUCAUAUUUAUUGUUAUUUUUCCGGCCAUAUACAUAAUUAUACAACACAUAUAAUAUAUAAAUUAUACACAAAUAAUACCUUCACAUGAAUUUGGAAUUUUUAACUCCUAUAGCAAAUGUUGAUACCUUAUUUAUUUUAAAUAAAUACUCUUUUAAAAAAUUAUAUUUCAUAGUUAUCUUUUGAUUUUUAUAGCCAAAUAUUUAUUUAUGAUUAACUCAUGUCCUUAAGCCAUAAAAUACUCUUUGUAUUAUUUUUCUCUCUCAUUCUUUCAUAUUUUUUUCCACCCUCUCUCUCAACGCCAAUCUUUCUCCCUAGAAGAUAAACUCGUCGAAGAAGAAACUUCUCUCUAUACUCUGUUCAACAUCUCCAUCUCCAUUUCCUUCAAAUUUCAACUCCGAUUCCCCUUCCACCUCGUUUAAUUCCUUCCGACGAAUUCCUCGUUUUCCGAAUCUCAAGGUCUUCUUAUCGAAGGAGUAGUUAUUGGUCGAUAAUAAUGACUCGGCAGAGCAGUUUCUGGGGAAUAAUUCGAUUGCUGAUUUCAUGAGGUUUAAAAAAGGCACUAAACAGAAGCUGCCAUUGAGAGGGGGGGGGGGGGGGGUUAUGCUUGAUGGGUUUGGUAAAAGUUUUUAAUGGGGAAGAAAAAUAGUGGCAUUAAACAGAAAUUGCCAUUGAAUUUACAAGUAGUUACUGUUAGGUUUGUUCUCGCAUAACUUUGCCUUCUAUUGCCGGAAUAGUAUCACAGUAACGGGAACAAUGAUGUUUCGAGUCGGAAGUACGUCCUCUCGACGAGAUAACAUUAGAGUUCUUCUUGAACAAAGACGACGGAGUUUGGGGCUGAGCAAAUUAAAGAUUCUGUUACCUUUUUUUAAGUGUAUUUUCAUAUAUUUCAUUGUAUUCAUUAUUUUUUAAUUGUAUUUCAGUGUAUCUCGCUGUAUUCCAUGUAUUUCAUUGUAUUCACUGUCUCGCUAUAUUCUAUGAAUGUAUUCAUAUAAUUUUUUUAAUUAAUAUUUUUUUAUGUAUUUAGAUCUAUAUAUGUAUUCAAAUGUAUCUGCAGUAUGUAUUCAUAUGUUUUUGCAUUAUAGAUGACCUGUUAUACUUCAUGUAUUCAAUGUAUUUUUAUGUAUUUAACUAUAUAUAUUCAAUGUAAUUAUAUAAUUUCUCUGAA